UUUUCUCACCUAAAAAUUCUCAAGAAUCACUACUCAAACUUUCUAAGGCCCCAUCAUCGAAAAUUUCAUUUACAUUUAAAACUAUGUAUUGCCAACAAUUGAAUAGAAUGUGCAUACAAAAAACAUAUAUUGAUUAUAUUUUAAUCUUCUUUACGUAUUUUUCAAUUAUCACUAGAACUUUUGAAAGAAAUAAAGUAAAUAAAAAUUUUGUUGAAAAUUUUCCCAUAUACUCUGAUACUUUGAUAAUAUUUUAGAAAGAUUUUCUCACCUAAGGAUUUCUUAAGAAUCUCUACUUGGACUUCCUUAAAAUCCCAUUGUCCAAAAUUUCAUUCACUUUUUCCUUUCUUACUUAAUUAAUUAUAUUUUUUAAUUAACUUUUAAACUUUAAUUAUACCAAUUUCAUUAGUCAUUACAUUAUUAUUAACAUCUAUCAAAUUUUUAGAAAAAUAGACAAAUGAAACUUUUUUGUAUUGAAUAUUGUCCUAAAUACUCCAUUACUUUGACAGUAUUUUUAGAAAAAUAUCCUCACAUAUACAUUUUAGAGAAUUGCUACUCAUAUUUCUCUAAUAUAUCAUCAUAAAAAAAUUUCAUUCAAUUCAUUAUUAAUAAAUUUUGUGUAAAUAUAACAUACAUGAAAAAAAAAUUACUCUAAAAGUAAAUUGAAAUAUAAAAUUUUAAAUUGCAUAAGAAAUCAAGACAAACAUAUAGAUCCACUCACAAGAACUCUAUAAAAAGGAAAUUUGAAUUGCAAAAGGAGUGUGAAUAGCUUUGAAUGAUGAGUCAUGCAUGGAAAGAGGCAUUAUGGAGAACAAGCAACUUUCAAUCAUGUGUUGAAACUUUUGUUUAUUAUUCAAGUAAAAUGAAAACUUAUGGCUCUUCACCAUCUAAUCGUAAAGUAAUGUCACCUUCCCAUGCAAUAUUCUAUUUGUUUAAUGAUCAUGAAAUGUGAUAAAAGGGGACUUUGAAAAGUCAUACAACUACAAAUCCUAGUAUCUAUAUUUUGAAGUUUUUGCUUCUUUUUUCUUUCAGUUAUUGGUGGAGUUUUCUAAGGCCGUAAUCUUCAUUGGCUUUCCUCUAACUAGUUCUCUUCUAAGAAACCAUUUAAAACACCAACUAACCACAAUACUUAUAGCAUUAAUACAUGAAAAGAAGCUUGGAAUUAGAUUAGCAAUUAUAUCCACAUAUAAAGCAUCAACCAAAAAAAUGGUCACGUCAAUAAAAAUGGACACCAAUCCAACUACACUAACAAACUUGCAUCAAACAAACUACUAUACAAUAAGGGUGAAGUAGCAAACAUAAAAGAAAAUGGAGCUUUGUUCAUGGAAAUGACAAGAUCCACACAAAAAGACAAAUAAGGCUACCUUUGCUUUUUCUUUUUCCUCCAAAAAAAUGCUUCAUUUCCUCUUUUCUUUUUGUUCUUUUGUUGGCAGUUUCCUCUUCUUUCUUCCUUCGGUAGCUUUCUACUCAUUUUCGGUAAAUUACCCUCCUUUUCUUUUUUCUUUUUCUUUUCUCCUUCACGCCUCCUCUAUUCGACUAGCUUGCUAUUUUUUCCCAGUAGUUUCUUUCCUCUUUUUUUAUGUGUUUGGCUCCUCCUUUCUCCAACCCUUCCUUUCUUUCCAAUCAAUAGACGCCCCUUCCUUAAAAGUCAACCCCUAAAAAAUUCUCAUUUUAUUGAUUAUAGAUCCUUUGAUAAAAUCUCAUCCAAUGGUCAAAGUUUAUCUUUUUUUCUUUUUAAGGAACCACCUUUGGCCACUGGAUCAAAAUCAAUAAAAGAUCCAAUGAUUCACAUUAUUCAUUGCAAAUGUUAGAUUUUUAUACCCUCCAAACUCAUGAAAAGAGCAUUUUACCCAUAAUGCAAAUUUUUUUGUAUUUAAGCCAUUUUCUUAUAAAUCAAUGUUUCCAUGCUCAUUUUUUGGAUUUUAAAACACCAAAAAUCAUGAAAUAUUACAAAAUUGAGGUCUAAAAAAUUUCAUAAAAAUCUGAGGUCGAAAAGGUUAAAUUAUAAAAAUACCCUUAUAGGAGUAUUCUGGUAAUUUCACACUUAUCAAUGUAUUACUAUGAUUUCAAAUAUACCAAAAAACAUAAAACAUUAUGAAAUUAAAAUUUGAAAAGUUUCAUGAAAAUCUGAGCUUAAAAAGGUCAAAUUACAAACAUACCCUUAUAUAAGAUAUUUUGAGUAAUUUCAUAUUUCUCUCAUUACAAUAAAAAUUUUUAGUGUUUUAAAAAUCAUCAAAUUUAAUUUUAAACCACAUUGUUUCCAAUUAUAUUGUGAAUUUUUAGGAUUGACCCAAUUCUAUUCAUUUUGAUCAAGUUUUGUACAAUUUUGAUCAAAAUUGACUUUAGGAUUUACUUGUUUUAUUUAUUCUUUAUUUUUCAUUCAUCCAUGUGAAAAAAUAUCAACCAUAUAAAUCUCAAACAAAAGAAUUUGACAUUCAUGUCUCAUUUUUUUUUUUUUGUUUAUUAAACCUAAAUAUUAAUGCAUUUUAUAAGCUCUUUAAGAGGUUUUUUUUUCCGGGCUUCACAAAACCUUUGUUCAAAUAUGUUAAAAUGUUCCUGACAAAAUUCGAUAUCCACAUCAUUCAUGUUGAAAAUUUUCUUUUUUUACCAAAAAUUUUGACAGUUAUAUAUUUAUAUAAAAAAUUAAUUGCACACUUUUCCCUUAUUACAGACCAUAACAAAAUUGAAAUUUUAUAACAUACCUAUUAAGUAAUCAAAGUUCAAAAUAUAAGGCCUACAAAUAAUAAGUACUCUAUAUACAUAUAAAUAUAUGGGAGAGAAACCUCAGAAAUGAGUUCCUCAGAAAUUUUCCGACAAUAACUCUGUGUUUGGCUUGUUCAUUGACCUAUCUUUUUACAACUAUACAAGCUCAAAGUAAAUACUUUCAAAACAAGAGAAGACAAAGAAUAAUGCAACAGAAAAGAAAGAUGGAUACUCUACUAAGAGAUUUGUCAACCUGCAUUUCCUGCCUUCUCAUCCUAAGAUUGUUAUUCCCGAAAAAGGGGUAAGAAGCUUGGUAAGGAUAAGCGAACAAACUUGUGUUUGAGCCCCCAAAUAUCCUGGCAUAGACCAUUUCCCCUAACAUCCCAAUCAUCGGAUUGAAGAAAUUUGUCAUCGCUAUGCCACCGAGGUUAGAUGAUGCCAAGGUUGCAUAACCUCCAUAAGGGUGAGGGAAGUAUUGCUGGUGAUGAAACUGAGAAUGGAAAAAAUUUUCAUGAAGUCGCUGACUUGGAUGCGAAGAAGUGAUCAUAGUGUUUGAUCCAGAAGGAGGUGGUCUUUUGGGAAUGACCAGAUCUGAGUGGGGAUUCUUCGAUUCAGAGUCUGAAGAUUUACCACGACCAUAAAGGGGAACCAAUGAGCUGGAAGAUAUGUUUGCCUUGCACACAGGGCAGUUCUGCUGCUGCUGGUUUGCAUCAAGGGAAGAAGUUCGGACAUGAAGCCACUUAUAAAUGCACGGCCAGCAGUACAAGUGACCACAAAGGGUGACUACCGGAUCUUGUGCUGACUCGAAGCAAAUGUUGCAAUCAAAGCCGCCUGAAUCCUUUUCAAGAUCUCUUGUUGGUGCAGUUAUCGGAUUCCAUUUCUGCUUGAGCGAAAUAUCUCCAUCAGACUCAAAGUGUUCUUGCUCAAAGAAGUUUGGUUCCAUAGCUAUUCUGUUAAAAUUUAAACAGCUCAGAUGAAAGUAUACAAAGGUAAACCAAUCACAAAGACACAAUCAUUUGAAAUACAGAAAGACAAGAGAAAGAGGGUAUCAUAUCAUUUCCAUACAUGAAUUAAAAAAGAAAAAUGUUCACCAUAUAGCAAAAAAUAACUUGCACAUGCAGAAGCAUUUACAGCAAAAUGUCCACAAGCAAAGUUUGACAGUGUGCUCCUAAAAAUGCAGAGUUCUAAAGAAAAUGAUCAUAUGACAACAGAAUAAAAAGAUAUUAUCUAGCCAGACUGGCUUCAAAUUGAUAAAAUGCUGAGAGGAAGGUAAAGGUUCCUCAACCCACCAAUCACAAAUGGAGCUCUCCACCAUUGCAACCCAAGAUAAAUACAGAAGAUGGUGCCCAGAAUUCUUUGAUUUUCAACGGGAUCAAACACAAUUUAAUCAUUGAAAAGCCAGAAGAUGAAAUAAUAGAAAAAAGAUUGAAGCAGGAAAUGCCAUCAAAUUAGAAGAAAUAGUACACAAAAUUACAGAAGAUGACAUUUAAUUUAAAGAUAGGCAGAAUUCUAUACAUGAAGAAUACAAUUUUACGCUAUAUUUAACCAAAUCACAUCCUUCUUUAAAAUCAAUUCUCUUUUUUUUUUCCCCUUCUUCUUCCUCUUUCAAGAAGACAAUUAUCUUUAAAAUAUGCAAUAAAUUCAAGAAUCAAGAACCCAAAUUAAAUAUAUAUAUAUAUAUAUAUCCUUUAUAGAUAUCUAACAAUUUAACAUACCAGAUGAAAAAUCAAGCGAAAGAUGAAAAUUUUCAGCCAAAACAGGAUCAAACAGGAAACCCAAAAAGCCAAAAAGAAAGAAAUCAAGAGAACUUGAAAGAGAUGGAGAUAGAGCUUACCGGUAAAGAAGAAUCUGAAACAGACCAAAAUUAAAUAUGGGUUAUGAUCAAAACCCAGAAUUUUCAAGAGAAAAAAUGUGGGAUUUUUUUGGUAUGUUUAGCCUUUUGAAUAGAGUCAAAUUCAUUUGGGAAGAAACGAAAAGCAAGAGAACAUCAUAUUUAUAGAGAAAAUUAGGCACAUCUUUGAUUUUGUUGGAAUUUUCUCUUUUUUUUAGAUUCUUUUAGUUAAAGAACCUUUUUAUUUAAAAAAAAAAAAAAGGUAAAAUGAGAUAAUAUUGAAAAAAAAUUUCUACAUUUUUUACUUGACUAUUUAAUUAGAAUAAAGAAAAAAAUUAUAAAAGCAUUACACCGUGAAAAAGAGUGAUCAUCUAGAAGGAUGUGACAACCUCAUAAAUAAAAAGCGUAUUUUUUGAAAUAAGGUUAACAUUAAAAAAAAAAUAAUGUAUUUUUUUCCUUUGGAUUAAAUUUUAUGAAUUUGCUGACUAGACGGUCAUAUCCAAAGAAUUAAAACUCCUUUAAAUUAAUCUUCACUCUAAGCAAUCUUGAGUUUCAAGAAAAACAUGGAAGACAGCCAUGUGAAUUACACGUGGCAAUAAUGAAUGAGUUACAAGAAAAGACAUGAAAUAGACAGCCAUCUGAUUACACGUGGCAAUAUAUGGAAUAAUAUUGUAAGAUUUGACAAAAUUAAAAUGGACGGUUUGAUACUUGCAGUUAAUUAUGAUCAUUUAACAAUUUAAAACAAAUCAUAAUAUAAAAAAAAAAAAAAAUAACAUAUGUUAAAUUUUGAAUUUAAAUUUAUUAAAUAUCAUUUUUAAUUAUAAAUCAAUUAAAAUAAACUUUAAUUCUUUCCAUAAUUUUUUUUCUUUUUUUUCUCCUCUUUUAUAUGCUUUUCAAGCCACACUAGUAAUUGGAUUUUUUUUAUUUUGGCAAGGUUAAGUUUUUUUUAAUUUAAAUUUUAUUAUUUUAAUAAAUAAUAAUAGUUUUUAUAAUUUUUAUGAAGCUAUAGUUUAUAUGAAUUCUUGAAAUCCAUUUCCCUAUUAGCGGAAGUCUCAAAUUUUAAAGUAUAUUUAUUUUUUAUAGUUAAAAUUAUUAGAGAUUGAAUAUUAAUUAUUAACAUUAAAAUUUUAAUAUUUUUAUCAAUAUGAAACAUAUUUAUUAACAGUUUAUUUUUUAAUAAUAUUUAUACAUAUUAAAAUAUUUUAUGUACUAAAAUCAUAUUAUGUAUGUAUUUAAUAUAAUUUUAUAUUAAAAUUAUUCAAUCAAAAUUUGGUUUGUUGGAAUAUUAAUUAAUACCUUAAAUAUAAAAAUUUUAGACCAACUUAACAGUCUUGGUUUCAUCUUGAUUCAAACAUCCACAUGGUUGAAAUUGAAAUGGAAGGAUUAAGAAUUUAAGGCCUUCCAUCUAGCCUAAUAGUUUAGGGAUCAACCAUUAAUUAGAACAUGACUUUUCAAGAGAAAUUUUUUUUUUUUAAUAAUGACUUUUCAAAAGCAAUUGUUAUCUCUUAAAUGUGGAAAAUAUUAAAUAACAACAACCUUUUGUUUUUAAUUUUUUUUUCUUAUAUCUUUUGUUGUAAUAAUAAAGUAGCUAUCAACUUCAAACAAUAAAAAAUUCGAAAGAAUUGGCCACAGUUUUUUUUAGUCUAUGAAGCAACAGUGAGAGUGUAAUCAGGGAUUCCACAAUUUUGUUUUCAAUGAUUUCAAUUUUCGUUUUCGAUCCGUUCAACGAGAAAAAAAAGUUUCCUUUAGUGUUGAAUUUCUAGAAAUUUUCCAAAAGCAUGGAUUUCUUUUUUUUUUUUAUCAUUGAAUUUGAUGAAUCUUUGAUUUCUAGACAAUUUGAAAUUUGUAAUUUGAUGUUCGUUGGUCUUUAAUUCUAAAGAUAAGAACGUGGGAAGAUUAUCUUAUUCAAUGCCGUGUCGCCCUGUCACCCUGUUGGGAAAAACUAAUUCCAGCGCGUAUCAAGCAGAUUAAUACCAAGAUGACACGUGAGAAAAUGAGAACAUUAUAGUGUAUCCAAAUGUAAACUUAGUAAUUUAAAAACUUAAUUUUAUCUGAAUAAAUUAUAAAAUUUAUAACAAACUUAAAAUCAUUGUGCAUACCAAAAUUACUGAUAUUAUUAUUAUUGAUUAGUAAAAUUUACAUUAAAAAAAGUGAGAAAAUUUUGUUUUAUGGUAUAAAAUUCAUUCAUCUAAGUUAUUUAAAAAAAAAAACAAAAGGUCCUUUGAAUUUCAAAUAGUCAAUUUCAUCAAUAAAAUAUUACAACUUACUUCACAUUUGAAAUUACACAAAAAAGAUUAUUUAUCUUAAAGAGGUCUACAUAAAAUUUUAAGAAAACAUCAACAUCUUUGGUCUCAUUUACCCAAGAUAGACAAAAAAAAAAAACGUUAUAAUCAAAAAACCGUUAAUUUGAUUGAAUUAAUCGAUUUAUUAAGUUUUUCAUUUUGAUGUAUUCCGAAUAUUAUAAUAUAUUCAAAUGUAACUUAAUAAUUUUAAAUUAAAUAUAACGAUAUAAUACAAAAAUAACACGAUUUAAAAUUUUAUAAAAUAUAUAUUUGAUAAAUAAAUAUAUAUAUAUAUAUAUAUAUUGAGUUUAAUGUGUCUAUGACUUAUAAUAUGACAAUUUUCAUGUUUUGCACGUGCUUUCCAAAUUAAACAUAUACCUAUACGAGUCAUGCUAUGCACAAGUGCUUCAUGUUCUGCACAUGAACCCGGAAGAUGCAUGCAAGGUUUAGGAAAGUAUUAAUUCUGGUCCAAGAAAUCCUAGAACCUAAAAUAUGUUGCCACCUCUGUUCUUCACUCCACAUGUUCAAUCAUGAUAAUGUGUGAAUCUGCGCACAGAUGACCAUUUGAACAGUAUCUUAUUGACCGUUAUAUGUUAAUUAAUGAUAGUUCCAAACUCCUUAUCAUUCUCUCUAAAAUCAAAAUUAUUGGAUAAUAUGUCUCCAAGAAAACUCUUCUAUUACAUGGUAAGAGAAGCAGCAGCAUUUCAUCAACUACUUGAAACUUAAAGCCAAGUUAUUAGCAUGAAGUCUCAACCAGAACUUCACAGUGGCUGUUGCUCCCUACACCAGUGGACAAGUAAAACGAGCAAAUCAAUGGGUCAACUUAUUAACAGAUACUUCCCAAAUUGAUGCUUAAAACUUGUUCAUGUUAAAGUAUGAUACCAGCAGCACCCAGAACUUAGCUCAAUUGAUUCAUGCUGGGAUUCAAAUCCGAAUACCUGCAACAUUUUCUCUUUAUCUCCAAACUGCGGCCUCUUUUGUACAAUAAAAAAGGAUGAUGCCAACAGGCCCGUUCCUACUCACUAACCUUAAAGAUAAACUGGAGAUUCCACAGCAAUAAAUAAAGAUGAAAACAAGCUACUAAAAAAAAUUAUUGAAACAAGAAACAUAUAACUAAUUAACGCUAACUAAAAGAGAAAGAAAAUACAGCUUCUUCUCAUAACUGUACAGGGGGCAGACGAGUUUAUUUCAGACAUAAGGUAUCUUAACAUGAACCAUUGGAAGAUAACAAAAGAAGAUAUCGAUGGAACGUGCUUAACUUCCAGGAAAAGUGACGACAUUUUCUUACCACCCUAUAAGAAUUUCUCAAUGCAGGUUGUCAAGAUGGACUUGGGAACAGCACCAAUGACUGCAUCUUUCUUCUCCCCAUUCUUGAAGAUCAUAACAGUCGGAAUGCUUCGAAUUCCAUAUCGAUUUGUAACGGUAGGGCUCUCAUCAGUGUUAACUUUGUAACAUUUGAGUUUCCCAGCAUAUUGCUUUGCCAGUUCGUCAAUUAUAGGGAGGAUCAAACGACAAGGCCCACACCAUGGAGCCCAAAAUUCAACCAGAACAGGCAAUUCACAAUCAAGAACAAGUGACUGCCAUGUAUCAUCCUUGGCAUUAAGCACUGCAAAUUUCAAGAACAAGCACAAUGACAUAUACUUCACCAAAUGUCACUUCUAAAUACAAUGGCAAGGUCACAUAAACAAUAACAUGAAUUCUCCAUUGUUCCUUGAUCCUGUUUCAUUUGUGAACAAGCAAAACUAAAAAAGAGUUUCAAAUUCCUUCAUUUAUGUUUUAAAAGAUAAACCAUGGAUAAACAAUGUUAACCAAAAUGAGAGCCAAUCAAUUCCUCUAAUACUCAACUAAAACAUGAGUAAAAGGGCACCUCGACGAUUACAACCUGAGUUUAAACAUAGGUAGGAUCAGCUCGUUUAUGAUAACUUCAGGUAAGAAAGGUUUGACUUUUACAUGAAUCUAAUUUCUUUUACCUUUACUCCAAAUAAUUCUUUCUAUUUUCUUCCAUUUUCCCUCAAUUUCCAAGCCACCAAACAAACCAAAAACAUAACAAAAACAAUUAUAACAGAAACGUCAAAUUAAUUUAACCGAAUUGAAUUGAAACGACGAAACCUACCAUCAAGAGCAGUCUCGUGGGCCUCACAAACAAAACGUCCAUCUCGACUGAGCCGACGCGGAUCCGGACUCAACGAUUUGGACGACAGAGUGACCGAUGCCGGCCUCGGUUUAAUCUUGAGACGUCGAAAUUCCGGUAAUCUAACGGAUAUUCUCCGCUCAGAAGAAGAGGCAAAAACAGCAGCCGUAAUUGGAGUGAAAGUAACCGUAGCGGCAGCCAUCUGCAGACGAAAUUAAUCGCAGACAAAAAUUGAAAAUUUCGAAGAGAGUGAGGGUUUCGAAAUAAAUUUUUGCUCAGGUAGAAAUUUUCUGGUGUGGACGCUUCUAGAAUAGUACAGUGCCACCGUGGCAUUUACAAGGAUUUACUAAAUCAGAUAAAACAAAUUAGUAACGAGUAAACUGAAGUCGGAUCGUUGUUUUUUAUUUUUUUUACGAAAAACAAUAAAAAAACAAAAUAAAAUAAAAUAAAAUGAAUCUUAAUUGAAAAAUUGAAAUAUUUUAUUAGAUACUUUCAUUCGAAAAAUAUUUUACCAAAGAAAGUAAAGAUGAGAAAUCCUAAGCUUCAAUGUUUCUUUUAUAGCAAACAAUAUAUCGUAACCAAUUAAAAUUUGAGAUUAUAAAAGUAAAAAUUAAAAAAAAAAGAAUUGUUUCAAAUACAUAAAUAUAAGAAAAUAAAUAGAAAAAUUAGUCAAUUUUUAAUUUAAUAAGAAAAAUACCAAUUAAAGAAAGUCUACUUUAAUAAAAAAAUUUAAUGUUAAUAAGAAAAUAAAUAAAAAUUAGCUAAUAUUCUAAUUUUUAAUAAGAAAAUCAUUAAUUAAAGAUAAAAUAACUAAUUUAAUAAAUUGUAAAAGGUUUACUAUUUACAUUUUUAAAAAAUGAUACUUUUAUCUAAAAAUAUUAGAAAUCAUAAUUUAAUAAAAAAUCAUACCCGCAUGCACACUUUGAUUUGAAGUUCAUUCUUAGGUAAACAAUAUGAUUAAAUUAUUCAAUCAUAUUUAAAAAAUAACAUUUAUCGAAUACAAAGUUUAAAUUUCAAUUUCUGUAAUUCCUUUUCCUAUUUUUCCAUUGAUCCUUCAUUUAUACAAAAAAAAAAAAACAAAUGGUUAAAUUAGAACAAAAUUUUUUCAAUUCCUUCAUUUUCCUUCCUAAAAAAAUGCAAGUGAAAAAACGUGUAACCUAUUCCAAAAGAGAUUCAAUUACAAUGUCUGAUUUGGAUUCUGUUUUGAACUAAGACAAGUUUCUCUCACGCAUUAGAGAUUCUAUCUUCCCCACAUCUUCAGGUGUGUCAACUCCAUGAGUCUCAUGCUCAACCUUUAUGACCUGCAGCAAAACAGGUGUAUUUGUCUUUUAAUACGAAAUACCCUCCAUUCUUCAGCCGUGUGAGGAUGGCUCCAUCGCGAAUAUCAGUUACAUAAAGAAAGAUUUAGGUCAUGUUUGAUAUACAAAAUUAUGAUAAGAUAAGAUAAUAUUAUGAAUAAAAUUAAAUUAACUAAUGUCAUCCUAUCUUAUGUUUGAUAUGUGCAAAGAUUAAGAUAGGAUAAUUAAUUUAUUGAUCAAAAUUAUCCUUCUUCAAAGUUUAUACAAUUUAAAUUAUUGAUAUAAAUUUUAAGGGUAUAAUAAGACAUGUAAGUUUAAUUCCAUGAAUUAAAAAUAAUCCCUUACUUUUCCAAAUGAUAGAGUUAUACUAUUGGCAUAGGAUAUCUAAUCUUUUCAAUAAUUCAAUCCUUUUGUUUAAGUGCAUAACAAACAUGUGAUAGGAUGAUUAGGAUCAUAUCUUUCAACUAAUUCUAUGUGCCAAACGUAACCUUAGCCUAUAGCUGUGGGCCAUGUGAAUGCUUGAGUAUGACACCAGGUUAUAUUUGGUAAGUUAUUUAAACCUACAGGAUAUAAGACAAGUGAACUUCAAAGUUUUAACAGCACGACACAUUGUUAUAUCAAGUGUGAUAUAAUGAAAACAAUGGUUUAACCCAAGACUUAGUAUAAUUGGUUCAUGCAGCCACCUUUAAGAGGUGACAUCCAAACCAUCCUGGUGCCUACAAUCCCUUUCCUAUGCCCAGGUUACGACUUCCUUUGUACCAAAAAAACAAUGGUCUAAAUGUGAUAAACAACAGAAUGGUCGCAUUCAUGGGAAGUGGCAUAUGAGGUUUAUACUAUAUUUUUAUCUUACCGGCAAAAGGAUUAAAUAAUGGUAAAGGAUUUUGUCAUACCUUCAUCUUAUAGCCGUUCUCAAGGACUUUAAGCUGUUCCAGAUCCUCUUCUAGUUGCAGUGGAGUAGGCUGAAGCUGUGGAUAUAUUUUUAGAAACUCUGAAUCAUAGCUCUGUUUGAACAUAAAAUUCGGUAACAUCAACUAAACAAACAAAGGAAAAACAUAUUUAUUUUUAAUUUUAAACUAUAGCAAAAUUCCAUCCUGAGACCUGAAUUCCGAGAUGAAGCAAGUAAGGAAACUGUGGAUUGACUUUCGCUGAUCUAUAUCAAGUCAGUCAACAAAUACAUUAGUGCAAAUGCUAUUAAAAUAAAAUAUGUAACACUUAAAAAUACACAUACACACAAAUAUAGAUGUAUAAUCUUACUUGUUAAAUGGUAUGAGUCCUCUAGAGAAAUAAACAGCAUAACCGCGAUUAUCUACCACACAUUUCACUCUAUUUGGAUCAAAAGCAUCUUCAGGUUUCAAAAAGGUGACAGCGGUGCUAAACACUGCAUCUGGUGCUGCCUGCAACACCAAUAGACCAUUUGAAACGAUUUAAAACAAUAAGCACUUAUACGAGGAACAAGAUAUAUCACAGAAAUAAAACAAAAAACUACAAAUAUAAACAUUAACUUUACAGCAAUAGAACCAAUAUUAAUCUACUGACGAAACUUAGAAUAAUGAACCUGCAGAGCUUUAACAACUCCAUCUAUUAUCUCAGGUUCAAUAAGAGGUUCAUCCCCCUGAAUAUUCACAACAAUGUCAUACUUCUUCUCUAGCUUUCCAAGCGCUUCAUUACAUCUUUCGGUGCCUAUAAGUUACCAAAGAGUGGAUCUAUAUGUCAAUGGAUCAAGUAUAGCAUGAAAAUUAGAAACAUAAUGAUAACCAUGGCUCCUACCAUUUCGACAAGACUCUGAUGUCAUUAUCACAGCAGCACCAAAUCCUCGACAGCAUUCUGCAAUCUUUUCAUCAUCUGUUGCCACAACUACACCAAAAAGAAAUAAUUAAGUCAGAUAUUAUAUAAUGCAACGUGAGACAAAGGCCAUUCAAAGGUGAGAAGCAAUCACCUGUAAAUCCCUAUUUUUGAUGCUCUCAUAUUUUGUUCAUAACAUUAAUCUUUAAGUAUAAAUCACCAAUAACAAGGAUAUUGCAUGAUUCAAUUGCAAUACCAAGCAAAUUUUUAUGCCUUCUACAGGCAAAAAAAGCAAUUUAUACCAAUAGGAUGUGUGAUAAACAAGACAGAACCAAGAUGAAAAUUUCAGUCAUCAAUCAUUGCAUUAAAACCUAAAAGCACGUUUUUAGAUUAUGUCAUGCAGUUGCCUAGCCUCUGUAUUGUCUAGCUACUGCCAUACCACAUUGUUUGAAUUUACCCCAGCUCUCAUAUUUUUGUCUCCAGUUAGUAUCUUUUAUGUAUCUUGGACCUUCCCCUAAAAGUUUUUUGAACCACCAUAAAAUUAAAUGGAAUUCAAGGUGCAAACAUACCUAUAUGAUCCAAUGUGGUUGCCAAUUUUGAUCUUUCCCAAGUUCUCUGUUAAAUAACAACACAAAUGUCAGUAAGAUACAAGCAUGUAAUAUCAUCAAAUUUCACAAAGGACGGAAAUGCUUAAAAUUUGGCAAUGAAAACAUCAACUUGGGAAAACCAACUUUUCUUCUCCAGCAUCUCGGAAAAAAGCUUCUAAUAAAACUUCAUGUAAAUUAAAUGUAGGCAAGUCGGUGCCAUGCUUGAUUUGUCGUACAAAUAAGCUCCUACAAUCUACAAAAGGAUUUUUUAAUCAAUGGAAACUAACAUAUAACCUAUAAAGUCCUUCCUACAUACGAAAAAAACCCACAGUUUUAACCAAUAUCAGAAGAUCGAUUGCGAUUAGACAAACUGGAAUUUCCAAGUUCAAAGAUGGUUCAACUUAUUCCUUAUUUCAUAUAGCCCAUCUUCCAGCUAACACAUUAAUGAUCCUACAUAUGAUCACAAAGAAAUUUAAACGCCUCUCUUUUAUUAUUAUUUUUUCUCAAAUAUAGAAAUUUUUAUCCCCUUUUUGUCUUAGGAAUCUAAUCAAAAUUGUAAUAUUAAUAACAAUGGUUCAUUGCAUAACUAAACUAUAACAUGCUUGCACAUAAAAAAUUUGAUCUUUUUCUUCUUGUCUAGUAUUCUGUCCACAUAUUCAAAACAUUAGAAUUAAAAAUUAACUCUUUAAUCUCAUAAUUUACAUUGAUCGAAAUCCCAUAUCGAAUUUCUCGGAAAACCACAAACCAAAACAAAUGCAACAAAAAAGGGCACAUAGAAAAUUGGAAUUUUAGAUAAAAUCAGAGGACUUCAAACAAAAGAGUACCUGGAUCAUGGGUUUCCCAAGGAUAUGAACCAAAGGCUUGCCUUCGAACCGAGAAGAGGCAAACCUGGCGGGUAUGACGCCCACGACGCGGGUUCGGAACUUCCUGGCCCGACCCAGAUAAGCACGUGCACCAAUGGCUAUGGCAAUUGCUGUGCCAGCUAGAAUGCUGUGAACUAUCCAAGCUUUAGCUGUUGAAGAAGAAGACGAAGAAGAAGAGGAAGAGCAGAUUGACAUUAAAAGAAAUUAUUUUAGAGAAAUUUUGUAUGCUUACAAAAAAAUAAGUAUAUAUUGAAACUUUCAAUUUCAAAGCCUUAUUUUGAAUUUUAAAAAAACAUAAAUUUUAUCACUUUAUUUAAAUAAAUUCUUAUAUUUUUAUAAAUUAAUAUUUAAAUCAUUAAUCUUUAAUUUACAUUUAAAUAAACUAUCAAUUUUUAAUUAUAUCCAAAUAAAUUUUUAAUUUUUAAUUUAUACAUAAAUAAGCAUUUAAAUUAAUCAAUCUUUUAUUCGAAAUAAAAUUUUAUUUGGAUAUAAAUAAAAAAAAUUAUUUGACUAUAAUAAAAAAUAUAGAAGUUUACAAUAAUUUAAAGAUUUUUUUAGUAUUUUAAAGAAAAUUAAACUAAACAUUUAAUUUGAAACGAGAAAAUAAUUUUUAAUAUAGACUGAUUUUACAAUUGACUUUUAUAAAUUAGCUCAAAAUGCUCAACGGAAAGUUGCUAAGCAAAGGGGAUAUUGCCGAAGGGAUUUUCAAGAACUAAUACAUGGCCAUGGUGUCAAAAGUUAAAAACAUAUAUAUAUAAUAAUUAUUAAAUCAAUAGGAGAUUUAUAUUUAAAUAUUUAUAACUUUUUUGUCUUUAAUAAUUCAUAAAUUUAUAUUAUAUAAAAUAUUAAUAAUUUAUGGAUUUUAUAUUAUUUUUAUAUAAAAAUUAUGUAUCAUAACUUAUAAUAAUAUAAAAAAUAUGAAAUACAUUUUAUUUCAUUAAAUUCAUAUAUAAUUUUUAUUAAAAUUUUAAUUUAUAUCAAUUUUUUAUAUUUUUUAUCAUGUCAUUAUAUUAUAUUAUAUUUUAAAUGAUCAUAAUUAUCUUUUUCUUUUUUGGUAAGAAAGAAAAUAUUAUUUACUCUCUCAGGUCAAGGUAAAAUGUGUCUUACCUGUUUAAGAUAAAUAAUUAAAAGUUAUGCAUUCGAAAUAAUUCUAAUAAACGAUCAUCAAUAGAACUUGAAUUCAAAACUUUUUUAUUGAUAAAGAUGAACUUUAAUUAAUUGAACCAAUUACUUAUUUAAACAUCUAUUAAGAAAGAUUUCAUUUUUCAAAAAAAUUUGAGAUGAAUCUUAGAUUUGUUCAUAUAACUUUUUAUUUAGGCAUAUUAUCACCUCAAAGGAAAGCUUCUCAAAUGUAAAUAAAUAUAAUGGAAGAAGUUUUCUUUUUUCUUUUAAUGAAAAAUGUCAAAGGAAACUAAAUCAAUUAAUGAAAACCAAAAUUUAUAAAUGCAUAUCCAAUAGUUAAAUUUUGAUUAUGUACGGAUGAACAGUAUAUGACUAAAAUUUAAGCCUUUCUUUUUUUUUUUUGCUUUUUUCCUUUUUAUACCAAUUAUUUUAUAGAUUUUAUUUUUAAAAGUGGAACCUGCUACCAUGAUUUUUUUGGGAUUUUCAAAAAGAUUUUUAAAGAUAAAAAUAGUAUAUUUAUAAAUAAUUAAGAUAUAAUCAAUAUUUUUAUCCAUCUAUCAUAUAAAAUUUGUUUAUUUUAACUUUUAUUUCAUUUUCAUUCUAAGUGUCAAUGUGAUACUUUAUUUUUUUUACCCAAUUUUUUUAUUUUUAUUUUUAUUUAAAUAAAUUUGUAAAAAAUCCCAAUUGAAAUUUUUUAUUUUUUUUUAAAUCAAGAUCGAAUUGAGAUGAGUCAAAUUUUUUUAUGAAAAAUGAGAUAAGAGAGAAAGCAUGUCUAUGAUAAUUUGACUAAAUUUAUUUUGAGGUAUAUAUUUUAUUAUUAAUUUAAUUUUAUAUUUAUAUAUUUUAAACUUACUUUAAGAAAUUAACCUUAUGAACUCGGUAAAAGCGUUCAUAUGGACAUUUUCUAUUAGCUUCUUUUCUGUUCAUUUAAAAAAAAAAUUCUUUAUUUCAUUUUUAUUCUUUUUACUUUUUUCUAACUUUUUAUCUUAAAAAAUUUUUAUUAAAUAAAUUUUGUAAAAUUAUAAAGCCGAUUGAGAUAUUGACAUAUCAUCCCAUUUAUUUUUUAUUUUUUAUCUUUCACCUUUUGUUUUUGUUUAAUUUGAUAAAUUGUGCAAUAAAAAAAUUAGUGAAUAGAAAUGAUAAAAAAAAAAAAUUAAACCGUGGUAAUGCAUGGACACUCCACCUAAUAUGUAUAAUUAAGGAAAAUAACAAUUAAAAAAAACAGUAAUAAAUUAACCAAAUUUUGAAUGUUUAAACAAGGUCUAAAAAUAUUAACAAGCAAAAGAAGAAAUAAUGCAAUUUAGGCACAACGUGGGUGUCACGAGUCAACCUUGUAUAGGGUCAUGAGCGGGGUUUAAGUUGUCAUAAACCACCCAUAUAUAGGAUCAUAAUCGGGUAAAUUUUUUGUGCUAAGAAAAGUAUCUUUAUUUUAAAUAUUAUAAUGGUUAGUAGUAGCAUAACUCUAAAUCUCUAAGGCUUUUAAGAGGAUGAGUGGACAACGUACUAUUAGACUGUCUCGCCGGUUGCUAUAUAGGCCUUGGCCAUCCACCAAGGACUGCCCCUGGCCCUGAUGAUGGUGAGAAGUCCCGAUAUUAUGAUUUUUUAUUAUAAUAAAAUUCAUCCCGAUUGAAUGUCUUGAAUAUUGACUCGAUGUGUUUUUUCUUUUUAUAUGAAUGUACCUUUUUGUGUGUGCUUGAAAUUAGUUUCGAUAUAAUAUGUCUUAUUGUGAAUGUUUGAUACUAACAUUGACUUAUAAUUAUUUGUUCAGAUAUCGAACUGUUGAAAGUUGACUUGUGUGAGAGUGCCCAUUUAAGUGCCGUACGGUCUAUUGUUUGUUGAGAGAAAGUUUAGUCUGUGACACUGGGCAGAAAAGUCUCUAACAGUUACAUAGACGAUGGAAUAAGCUGAAACAGAGAUCGGAGUCGAAGCAUCAACAAGCUUUGGAUGCAUUGCGGGGAUGUCCAAUAAAUCAGUCAGCGUCAAUGGAACUUCGUUCAGUAACACAAUAUCAGUCUGUAUAUCUGCAUGUAAACCACUCAAAUGGUACUCUUCUUUAUUCUCUUAACCUCUGAAUUCAGAAUUGGGUCUCACAGCACCUGUGGAUUCUAUAUUAUGUCUCACUCUAUGCAGAUUUUCAUCAUUUGGAAGGGACAUUGAGGGAGAUAUCUUUGGACACGUUGAUCAAAAUUAGUGAAUCCCAGGCUGCCCAACGUAAAAAAGAAAUGAUCCAAUUGUUUUUUUGUAAGAAAAAUGUAAAACAUAUUGGAAAGGAAAAUCUUGGUGUUAUUUUAUGUUAGUCCAAUUAACACCUUGAUCAUCAAGUUGGCAAAGUUAGUAUCUCCUAAUCGUUAAGAUGAUGGUUAGCUUAAUUGAUCCAAAAUUCAACCAACAUCUAGAUAAAUUAACUAAUCAUAUCAACACCAAUUCAUUUUAUAAAAAGUAAAAUCAGAACAUAAGUCUUUCAUUUUAACUUUUUUACGAUCACUUUCAUCUUUUAUACUUUCCCUUCUUCUCUUUUACCUUCUUUACCUUCCCUUACCUGCUACUCAUUAUUGAUUUGAGCAUCGAAAUAUGUUCGAACUUCUAUCUCUGACAGCCUCUCUGACUAUUUCUUCGUUUAUACCCUCCACGCUUGGAAACAAAGAUUUUUUUUUUUUAUUCAAUGUUAAGCUUACCUAUUUCUUUGCACAAUGAGCAUAUACAAGCAAAUUUGGGGUGGCAUCUUGAGUAACAGCGAGUACAGUACUUCCCGUAAGUCGGUGCCAUAAAAGUGCACCGGAAGAAAUGUAACAAAUUAAGCAUACGAAAUGUUAAUAGCUAUAAAAAUAAUAAGGAUAAGAAAAAAAAAAAAAAAAAAAACGAAGGAUACUGAGCCAUAAUAAUCUGGAUUAAGAAUAAAUGUUGUAGUAUUAAGGAGAGCAUAAUUUCCACCAUCAUUAAAAGCUCCACCUGAUUCAGAAACCCAUGCUCAUGACUUGGUCAAAACUUGUCAAAGGCUUUCGAAACAUCUUUAUAUGUCUGAGCAACUUGAUUCAGGUAAAAUUGAUCUUGAAUCUUGGUCAUUAGGUUUUGAUCAUGACCAGCAUAUAUAAUAACUAAAUGCCUGAAAGUGUUUCAGGAAAUAUUGAAUUGAUGCAUAUAUGGAUAGCAGAUCCAAGAUUGUAGAUAUGGUGUGUGAUUCCAUCAACAACUACUUAUAUAAAGCUCAUUCCUAGUCAAAAUGUGAACCAAAAGUAUAAAGAAAGUCAGUCUUAUAUAAAGGUUCUGGCAGUAAAUUUAGUUACUAAAUCCAUAUGAAUCAAUUAAUAUUGUAUCCUUUGGAAAUAGUAUAAUUCAUAAAAUCUCUAGCAUCUUGUGAUUGCCAAUCAACAACCCAAAGACCUCUCUCAGUUUUAGACUUUUUUUUUCCAAUAAGAGCAUUCAACCCGAAUGUAACCUUUGCUCUGCAUAAAUUGAGAUUAAUAAAGAUCAUAGUUAAUGUUUUGAAAAUAAGGAAAAAAAAAAAAAGCCAAUUGAAUAAGGUAUUCAGCUCGUCCCAUCUCUCCAUGGGAAGGCAUCCUUAAGAGAAUCCAAAUGAACCAUCUUCCCUUUUCUUGAAACGAUGGCAAUUCUUAACUCUUCCCACCUUAUGGUUGGAAUCAUGAUUCCAACUCAGUGGGUUCCUUUAUCUGUAAAAUCCAAAUAAAUAAAUACAUAUUUUUUUGUUGCUUCAACUUUUAUAUCUUACUCCCUAAAAUGGUGAUGGAGGAAGGAAGUAUUUCUUGGUAGAAAGAGGAAUUUACUUACGAAGAUCUUUCAUGUUUAGUUUAAAAGAAAAGUAACCCAGUACAUAUUUGUUAGUGUUAAUUAUAUUUUAUGUAAAUUUAAUGCCAUUAACCUAACUCGCCUGUAUAACCCCCCACAAAUAUAGCUAUAUAAAAUCCAUUUCAUUUGUUAAUUAAUUUAAAGUUGUGAGACAUUUUUUGUAAGAUAAAAUCAUGAGACCUUCGGAUCAAAGCGAACAAUAUCUCGCAAGUUGAGUACGGAUCUCUACAAAUAGUAUCAGAGCGAUCACCAGUCCGCAGUCGUGAAAGUUACUAAGUGCUACACGGUGGAGCCGUGGGAGUCACUAAGUAUUACACGAUGGUCUGGUGUGAUCUUUAUCCUAUGGAUGGACUCGGUUUGACAGGGACGUCAAGCAUUAAAGGUGGAGAGAUUGUAACGCUCUCAAUCUCACAUCAGGAGGAUUUGUAAUAUAAUAUAUAUGUAAAGACUUAAUCUCAAACUUGUGAGACGUCUUUUGUAAGACAAAACCAUGAGACCUUCGGAUCAAAACGGACAAUACCUCGCAGAUUGGGUGCGAAUCUCUACAGUUAAUUAUUUUGUAAGAUGUUCACGUGUGAACUUGACAACUAAUAUUUAAUCAAUUUUGGUUAACAUUUUUACCUUUUGGGUGAAAGAACUACAAUUUUAACUUAUAUUGCAAAAAAUAUUGAUAUAUUAUUAUAUGAUAAACACGUAAAUCGGUAAUAUUUAUCAAACAUUGUAUACAUAAGCUAAUUAGAUUAAUGAUAUUAAAGUUUGGGUUAACAUAAUAUGUUAUUUAAAAUUUUUAAAUGUAAUAUGUUAAUUAAUUAAGAAAAAAAAUUUCCUACAUAAUUAACCAUGGAUCAUGGAAGUUGGAAUCAACUCACCUUUGCUUGUAAGGGAACUAGCAAAUUCUUUUCCUUUUUAUUUGUUUUACUACGUUAAUUAUAAGUAAUUAAUUUCAUUAAUACAAAUAAUAAGUGAAGAUCUAUUUUUCUCUUUAUAAUUGUUACAUGUUGUACUGAUUAUUAAUCGAUUUCUCAAGGAAGACUUGGUGAAACAUCAUGAACCAAAGUGCACUUGUUCCAUAUUUAUGGUUUUUUUUUUUUUUUUUGUCCCUUAAGAUUCGACUUUGAAGCAAGAUUCAUCCAUUUUUGUAAGUAUAAUUUUUGUUAUACUUUCUGGAAUUUGUGAAUUACCCACAUUCUCAUUGAGGAAAAAAAAACCCUAUAAUCAUACCCAAAUUUUAUAAAAUAAACAGCCACAAAGGUAUUACAUUUUAUAUUCAUUGACAAAAAUAAUUCCAACAAGGUUAGGAUUUGAUCUUCGAUAUAUGCAAUUCUCCUAAACCCUCAACCUCCUUUGUACUAAAAAAAUUAUAUCCCUUCUCAAAAUUCGAACUCCAAUAUUUUUUUUUAAAAUUCAAGCUCGAAACCAAAUUGAAAUCUUCACAAGUUGAAAAAUUAUAAAAGGAAAUUGAUGAAAGAAAAAUAGACAUUCAAGUACAAGAGAGCUGGGGUGCAUUCCAAAAUGGCUAUCUUCUUCCAAAUCAGCAUCUCAACAUUUACAUUAGGAAAAAAAAAAGUGAACAUAAUUUGACUCUAAUCUUUCUAGAUGUGAACAAAUCUGCUUAAAAAUUUAUUGUUACAUUUGACAGUAUGAAAAAGUGCUAAGAUUCUACCUCUAGUCUUGUUAAUUUUUGCCAACUAUAUUAAGGCCUCAUCUGCAACCAAACAAAGUAGCCAAAAUUUUCUUGUUAUCCGGAACUAAUGAGCUUAAGCCCGCCCAAGACCUGUAGGAAACUGCUGUCGAGAAUAGCAAUUGCACAAUCGAGUAAGAUAGCAUUCAGUGGGCCACCCUGAUAUCUUGCUUCAUCGAUGCGGCAACACAAGAUGACAAGCACAGCUAGACCAGUGUUUAAUGGCAAGACCGAUUCUUGAAUGUUUGAAGAAGACGACCAAAGACACGAGGGUACAAGGGUGUGAUCAUUCUAUAAACUCCAGGAAAAACCACCAUCUUGACGACCAAAGCCAUUGGCAUCACAGUCACUAUAUUUAAUGUUUUGUCUAGAACUUUUCUCGUUCCUCGUAUGCUUCUCUUUCUUUAAGACUGUUUCUUCAUGCCAGACUUUCUUGUAUCACUAUUUUCUUAUACUUUUUUCUUUUUGUGCCUUUCUUUGGAAGAAGAUUUCCUCUUUUUUCCGGAGGAUUGAGCACUAAUGUCUGCGCAUUUCCAUCUCCUCGAGGCAGUGGUUCUUCAUCAUCUAACUGCCAAUUGCACAAAUUGUCCUGCUGCUGUCCAUACAGUGUCGGUAAAGGCUCCCCAGCUCCAGGAAGCAAGCUGCUAAAAGUGACACACACGUUGGAUCCUCCUUGGCGCUUAAGCAAAAGCGGAUCCAAUCUAUUUAUGGUACCAAGAAUGCUUCUAUUGGGGCCCAGAGACAAGAUGGUCUCUGGAUUGGUCAAGGUGGUAAAAGCCAUCCUGAAAGCAGAUCUAAUCUGCAAGACAAUAUAUAAUAUUCUCACUACAAACCAAACCUUAAAGUCAACUAUCCUACAAAUAGCUGUUUAUUGCAUGAAUAGGAAAUUAAUUGUGCCUUUGGUAAAGAAGGGAAGAGGGCAGCCAGGAGUGUAGGGUUUUUUCCCCUUAAAACAGUGGACUAGAAAGAGAAAAUCAUUAACCUGGAUAUAGUUAAAUGAGUUCUUCUUGAUGUCAUUGUCUGGAGCCUGUUUCAUCAUUAAAGAAUAUAUUGAUAGAAACAAAUGGGGAAAAAAACUAGCAUGACUCAGCAAUCAAAGGAAGCAUGAAUGUUGCAAGUGUGGAAGCCUGUGAUUGCCACUAGCAUUCCUCAAAUUAGAAGGCAACAAGUGAAAAUAUUCAAGGCAACCUGUGGUUCCUCAAUGCAGAUGAGAAAUGGUUGUCUCUUUUUUGAAAACCUAAAGGAGAAUCAAACCAAAAAGAAGGAUAUACAAUUUUAGUCACCGGUAUUUGAAGAUGAAAAGUGAUCACUUUGGCAUGAAGGAAAACUUUUACUUUUAGCCUUUGCUACUCUUAAAGAAGAAUAUGCCUCUCCCUUUACAAGACACACCAACAUCCACAGUGUUCAAUUUUCGUCCAUAAAAAUCAAAGAAGUGUACCUAAUUUCCAAAAUAAACACAUUUGUAAGUUUGCAUGUCUGCUUUUCUUUUCUAUUAUGUUCUUUUAUCACAAAAGGUUCGGAUUAAAAAGGCAGCAAAAGAUAAAAGUAUGGUUUCUAAGCACACAUACCAAGAGCAUACCCAAGUUAUGUUCCAGAUAAUCUUGGGAUUCAUGCAGACUCUGAAGCACAAAAUGGUUUAUGAUAGGUUAGGCAACACCAAUAAAACAGGGACAAAAAAGAAAGGUGCUAGAGUCCAAUCAUUAUUGGAAAUUUAAAAGUGCUUAUUGUGGUGCAUAUCUUUCAUUAUUUUAUUAAAAUUUUUAGAAGCACAAGUACCAUGGAUAACAGAAUCGCUGUAAAUAAUAUAACAUGUCUUAGAUUAUUGGAUUGAGUUCAUAGGUGCCAAGCAGAAGCAACUGCACAUCUGCCUAUUGCUCAUAUUGCAAAUUUAAACAUGACAAGAAUUUUGCUUACCUGCAACAUGGCGAUAAGCAUCACAAGGAGAGCAUAUUAACCUAUUCCACCUGAAUAUACCUGCAUAGUUUCAAUAGCGUUUCAAAACAGGCACAGAGGAAUGACAAUAUUUUUAGAGGAAAAGGAAUGAUGUUUCAGUAUAGACAAACUCAAACCUCGUUCAGGUCUCUCUGUUGUAAAAAUACUUUCAGGAUCAAACACAAUGGCCGUGAUUGAGGCCAUUUUAGUACUGCUUCCUACCAGAAAAAACAAAAGCAUAGUUUAACUUUAGAAAAUACAGAGAAAAAUCCACAAAAAGUCCUAUGAUUAUGGAACAUUCAAAGAAAUAAUCUAAUGGAAGCAGAGCUUCAAUACACCAGAGAAAAACCAUAAAAAGUCCCAAGUUUGUAGACAUGUACAAAUCACAUCAAAAUGAUUUAUAAAAUUUUAAUCAAAGAAUCCAAAAGUAGAUAACAGGAAAUAAAAGAAAAAUAAGCUAUGAUUCCCAUCGGUGAGAAUAAAUCUAGCAAACAAUUAAACUAUGACACAAGAGCACAGUCCUCAAGUACAAUUGCAGCCAAAUAUGAAUCUUGACUGAGAGCAAACCUAAUAAGAAAAAGACUACAGUCCUCUCCAACAUACUUGACCUCAUCUAAUAAAAGGGGAUUAGAAUAACUACAUUUUAAGCAUCACUAUCAAAAACUGACAAAUGAAACAUCAGAGCACAGGAAAGAACAUAAUUGCAACAAACCUUGAUAAACUCAGCAGCUUUUGGCCCAUUAGCCACAUCAAAACUGCAGUAUCGAACACCCAACUAAAUAUUAAACCGUGAGACAGCACUGCCAAAUAAAACAUGAAACAUAGUUUCAAACUGCCACAUCAUCAAAUCAAAAUGCAGAUAAAACAACUGUCUCUCGUACACUUAUCACUUAUGUUUUAUGUCAGACUAGGAACUAAACCUGUCGCCACCCUCAUAAAGUUCUAAGAUCCCAUCAAAUAUUGUCAAUAAAAAAAUCAAAAGAGAUAGGAAUCUAAGUCAACAGAAGUUCUUCACAUGAUUAAAGACAAAAAUGAUGACAGAGGUUUUAGUUCUUGAAUUCUUUACAAUCUCACCUUCCUCAAAUUUUUUAAAAAAAAAUCCUGUCUGGCAAAGCAUUUUGCCUCACAGACUAUUAAUAUUCAAAUGCUAAUUUGAAAUGUUGAUUAGUUCCAAUUCGUAAUAUCCAAAUACUUGGACUUCCACAAUUUCCAUGAACCUCAAAAGAAAUCCCAUGAAGAUAACUUAUAAGUCCUGUAUUUAUAACUUCCAAAAAAGCCUUAUCAUUAUAGUCGCGUAUUUGAUUCAGUGUCUUAUAUGAUGAUAUUCAUACCAAAAUUAACUGAUACUAAAACAAAUUCAGCAAUAUUUGGAGGCAAAAAGAAAUUUCGUAAAAGAGAUUUUGGGUUAAAAUAUAUGUGGACAAGAAAAUGAAAUAAGUUUCGAACAAAUAUAUAUUAUAAUAGAGUAAGUUUUGAACAAAUAUAUAUUAAAAGUGUAAAGUACACAUCAAGAUUCCAACAGACAACAAAGCUGCCAAGCAAGUAGAAUAUGGAGCAAAUUUGAUAUUCAAAUCAAUCCAAAAGCAAUGCAGGAGGAAAACAGAACUAAUUUAUAUCAAAUGCAACACCACUUUUCUUUUCUACAAAUUUAACUAUUGGCACACUCGCUUUUGCAACCACCUGAUAAGAAUUGAAUUGUUAGGUAAUGUACUAUUUUGUAUCAAUAAACUUUCCAGACAAAGAAAUUACCUGCAAAUUUUUUGCAUUCCCCUUUGAGAUAAUGUCCUAGAAAGAGCAUGCAAGCCAGUCUGUGGAUUGUUUAUACCUGACCCUAGCAUCACAACCUAUAUACAGAAUAAACAAAUAACUACUAAAACCAAUCACACAAGGCAGGAGAGAAUGUAUAAAAACAGUUGCGCUAUAAUAUUUUUUAUGUUUUCAAAAACCUUUUGGUCAGUUUUCUCCUUCCUAUUCUUUCUCUUUCCAUAUUUGAAAAUCCAUAUACUUAAUAUCCUAAUGAAAAACCGUCAAAUAUGUUACUGCAUGCUAUAAUAUAACAGGAUUCGACAUUGACAGAAUUUGAGUUGCUUGACAUAAAUUUCAUGGUAUAAUAGGGAACAUAAAACUCACAUCAAUAUCACUUGUUGGUAAAUAAAGUCCUGUCCUGAAUGACCUAAAAGCUUCAGGCUGCAAAGAAAAAAUUUGUAAUCUUUUGGCAUUGUACAAUAUGUGUGCAUGUUUAUAUGCGUGUGCUUUUGUGCAUAAGACAAAGAGAGGCCGCUAAUCAUACCCUGCAGGCAGGCCAUACGUAUUUGAUAACAUCAAAAACAGAAUCUACAGCUGCAUCACGUACUGCUGGCUCUUCCGGAGUUGAAGAUAGAAAAUCACAGAAGUCCACUAUCUCAGUAAGACCAACAUUGUGGUAACGUUUAAAAUCUUCUUAUGAUGUACAAACUCAUAAAAAUGGCAUUCAAGAAUGUUUAUCACCAUCUACUAACUACAAGCACCCUAGCAAUACAAACAUAAAUAAUUUCAAUAAAAAAAGCUAAACAUAUAUAUAUAUAUAUUAUUUAAUCCUGCUGACCAACAAUCUUUUACUCUUUACUCAUAAAUUCAAGCACCAUAACAACAAUCACACAUGCAACCCUUCAUAUUUUUUUCUUGACAAUCAUACCCACCAAACUAAGUGUGCCACAAAAUCAAACAAAUCAGAGUAACAAGCACUCAAGCAGAAGACAGAGCUCAAAUUGAAUUAUCAAGUACUAGCACACAAACCAAGGUAAGAUACAAAAUUUAUCAAAGGAUACCUCAAUUGAAAAUUUUAAAAUUCCAAUCCCAGCUACAUUCAUUACUAAAAGAACUGAUAUAGCAUUGAACUUAAAGGCAAUGGAAAUAAUUUAACAGCAAUAAAGCAGGCCCAAAGUUUUGUAAGAGGAUAAAAAAAACCAAAUUUCAACUAUGUUUAAUCACCACAUAUCAGAUUCUAAUCCUGAAAAAAGAAGUAAAUUAAUCCAAAAAAUUCAAAAUUUCCCAUAAAAAUAAAAAAGCUUAAACAGUUACCAAACCUUUAUGCAACUGAAGCAUUGGACUUUUAAACCUACUAUUCCGAUGAAACCACUACUUGUUCUCAAGCCUCGGUUCAUCCACUAUACCCAGCGUCUUCGGCUCCGGUUCAUCGCAAGCCGAUAUCGGAGCCUGUACUGGCACCGGCUCAGCCGGCUCAUUAACAUAAAGCGAGAAAUAAUCCGUCGCAGCUGAGUCCAUGGAGAUGGGACUUUCAGCUGAUAGAGAGAUUUCGUUGCGGAAGAUAGUGUACGGCUCAAGAGGGGGUUGAUUGGACUGCGGAGAUUCGGCGGCAGGGAAAGAGGGUUUCGUAAUGGAUGGGUUGCGAAUUGGUGGGGAGUCGGGGUUCCAUUGAAAGGAAGUUUGAUAUAGGUGAAAGGAGAUUGGGGAAAUUAGGGUUUGCAGGUCUGUGUGGGAUGGGUUGCGAAUUGGUGGGGGUGGGUUCCAUUGAACGGAAAGGUUAGGGUUUUGGGGAUUGGGGAAAUUAGGGUUUAUUGUCCGGGCGGGUAGAUUUGAAUUUUGAGGGAAUGUUUAAGCCACGUAGGAUUUAUAUAUAUUUUUUUUACAAUUUUCCUUUUAAGAAAAGAGAACUAUUAUUUAAAUUUUAAAAAGGUCCAUUAUUAUUUUUUUUAUUGAAAUAACCUAUUUAAAGUUUUCAAUUUUUUGGACAUAUAUGAAUUUUGACUCUAUGGGUUUCUAUGAACAUCCAAAUUAAAUUAAAUAAUUUGUAUAUUUAUAUAAUAUUUUAUUUAUGUUAAAUAUAUAUAAAAAAUACAUAUAAAACACAAAAAUUAUUUUACAUAAUUUAUAUUUAUAUACUUAAACACAAGGCAUAUUUUUAAUAUUUUUAAACUUAUAUUUUUUUUCAAUUUUUUAUUUUUAUAUUUUUUUCGUAUUGUAUCAUUAUAAUAAAUUUAAAAUUAUUAGAUUUAGUCCAAAUCUUUAAUUAUAAUUUUUUGAAAAUCAUUUUUUUUCAAAAUUGUAAAAACAUUUAUUGACUUGAAUGAGUAGUUAACUUACUAAUAACAAAUUAAAAUUGUAGCUUUCAUUUAUUUUCUUUUUAAAUAACCAUACUCUAUAGUUUACAUAUUUAACACUACAAAGUAAAUAUGGAUACAAAUUUUGACCCUCUAAAGAUAAAUGAAUUUUUUUAAUGAAAAUUAAGGGUACUUUGUCCUAUAUCACUAAUCAACAUAGAAUAUAUAUAUAUAUAUAUAUAUGACACUAAUUUACUAAUUAAUCAACAACUUAAUACAAUUUUUAAAAAAUAAAUUUACAAGAGAAAUGUAUGAAUCAAAGUUUAAAUUUAAUAUUGAGCUUUUAAUUUGAGUUAUCAAAUUUUAAAUUUUGAUAGUCUCUAAUAUUAAAUGAAAUCUUCAAAUCCAAAAUUUUCAUCUUUAAUAUUACUUGUCAUUCAAGUUAAGUCCAAAUUAUUUAGUAAAAAUAUGAAAUUAAGAUCUUUGGUAAAUCCUUAAAAAACCCUUAAACUUGAGUUCCGUCCAUAAAGCCAUUUUACUUUUCCUUGUUGGUUUAACAAAAACCCAAAAUCUAUUCCUACAAGAACUAGGAAAAAGUAACACUAUAUAUAUAUAUAUAUAUAUAUAUAUAUAAGAAAACAACUCAGAUUUGGAUAUUGAAAUUAACCCAUAGAUCCAACACAUAGAAAAAACAACAAAGUUUUUUGUCAUGUCUCCUGAUUUACCUGUAACAUUGUUACCGUAUCUUGGUUUCAUCCUAGCUUCCGCCUGGUGUCUUUUCAACAUCAUCUUUGAAUGUUUGGGUUUGUUCCUCAGCAGGUUCCAAAAUCAUGAUAGUGAAGGUGAUAUUGAAUUAGGUGAAACAAGUUAUGGUACUACUCCUCGUCGGAUUCAUGUUCUUCCAGCAGUUUGCGAAACCCGGUUGUCGAUUCCAGGACCAAAAAAACUGAUCAGCUGUGCUGCUGGUGAUGAAUGUGUUAUUUGCCUGGAAAGUUUCCAGGAAAAAGAUGUUUGCUGUGUUCUUGUCAAUUGUGACCAUGUUUUUCAUAAGCCUUGUGUUGAAGAAUGGCUGAAGAUAAACUUUUCAUGUCCACUUUGUAGGACCGAUGCUUUCUCUAUUAUCAUUGAUGUGUAAUCAAGUUUUUUCUGCCUUCUUUUUUUUAUGAUGGUUACAUAUGAGAAAGCAAGAUUUUCCAUUAUAUUUUGUAGUAAAUAUGAAGUUUAUGAUUUCAUGGUUUUUGUCUAUUUUUAUGGAGAUUUUGCCCAACUUGGUCAAUUUUUAUGGUUUUUAUGGUUUUUAUCUAUUUUUUAUGAAGUUUAAGAUUCUGCCCAACUAGUCAAUGGAUAGACAAAAUCUGUUUUUGACAACUAUUGUUUUUAAGAACAUAAUUAUGGAAAUUAAGGAUAACAUUGCUUGGCAAUAUCUUCAUUAACCAACUUUUCCAACCCCAGCUGAAAGCUAGAACCUUUAUAAUGUUGGGAUCAAAUAAAAAAUUCUUCAGGUUUUGAUUGAAGCAGCUGCGUUUUUCUCUUGCAAUUUCAAUAAAUCAAGAAUGGUUUCACCACCUUCACCUUAUGAUAAUCACAAAAUCAAGUUCCCACCAAUGCUUCAUUCAUUGUUUUCUCAAAAACUGGCCCUGGAAGAAUCUCAAUCAACACUUCCCAAUGUUACUUACAAUCUUCGGGACUUUCAAACUUGGAUCAUUGUUUGCCUUAUAGGGUUGAUGCUCUUCUUCUUCUUCUAUCAUACUCUUGACAGAUUUCAUAGUUGGCUUCGAAACGAGACAUUCGAGCAAGAUAUUGAAUUAGGAGACAUAGAUGAUCAUCGAUCUCUGACCAAUAUUUCGGAUUGGUCUCAUGAAGCAACCAUGCUCAACAAUCUGUGGUUGUUGGAAAUAUUGAAUGGAUUCAUGGCAUUGUUAACAGACAGACAAGGGCUAAGCCCGGAGGACUUGGAGAAAGGUCUGCCCCUCGUAAAUUACAGAAGCCUAGGAAAAACAUUAGAUGAAUGUGUCAUUUGCUUGGAGGAUUUUGAAGAUGAAGAACUAUGCCGAGUUUUUCCUGUAUGCAAACAUGUUUUUCAUUUCAAUUGUAUAGAUAAUUGGUUGAGAAAUCAUAUAACUUGCCCGAUUUGUCGGAAUUGUAUAGUAGAUGUAUGACAAUGUAAAUAAAUAUUUACCAAACUUCUAAUUUCAAACUCUUCUUUUUUACAAAUUAGACGGUAGUCUGGGAUAGGGGAAGGAAUUGUAGGUGGUGGAAUUUGAAGCCAGACCUACUUUAUAUCACCUUUUAAAGUUAAUUGUUCAAACCAACUAGGUUAAGAUUCGGUUUUCACUUUUUUGUUAUACAGAUUCGCUUUCUUUUCAUGAAGAACUGCAGAAACUUCAUCAGUUCCAUGGUUUUAUCACAUUGAUUUCCAUGCAGAAGGGCAUGCAGCUUCAAAGUCCUAAUACUAAUAUACAUUAGAGUAGUGAUGGAGGCAUAAAAAAAACUCAUCUCCAUGCAAGAUUAUCCAUGGUUUCUGUAAAUUUUAGCAAUGAUAGUUCCAGAAAUGUGGUCAUUUGAUGAAUGAUGGAAAAAGUUCAUUGAAGAUUAAUUGACCCAAGGGAGAAGCCCAGCAACGACUUUGCUCUAGAACGAUAGGAAACCAACUAAAAACAGUUUUGAACAGACUUGGUUCUCUUUUUUAAUAGCUGGAGUAAGCAACUCUUAAAAGUGUUUAUAACUGAAAUUUACAUUGAUUAGCAUUUUCUAAGCUAAAAAAUAUCUUAUCAAUUUUGCAAGAAAAUCAGUUAAAACCAAGGAAAAUUGGUUUUACAGCUUCAUUUUCAUGGUUAUGGAAGAAAGUGAUUUGGCAGAGUCUAAAUAAAUCUCCAAUAACACCUGAUCUAAUUUUAGAGAGCAGCCUUUCAGUAGCCAGAGAUUGAACCCUGAUUACUGAAAUUAAGAGUCCAAUAUUCUACCAGAGGACCUUACCAAUAUUUCCUUUGCUGCGUUAAAAAUAAGAGAAUACGUACUACCAAGUGCAAAUAGCACUCAACAUGCUGGAAUUUCUCUGGAGUAAUGAUUCACCAAUCAUUGGAACCUUCUCAUAUGCUUUCAGCUCUCUAAAUCUACCAGGAAAAAUGCAACGACCACCAAAAGGCUGCUGCUAGUAAAUGAUUACAGCAAACAAACAGAAUCACUUUCACCAGAAAAACCAUCCACAAAUUGCCCAGAAACAAAUGUAUAGUUAUAACUCAAUUGUGCAAUCAUCAACAAAGAAACUGGCUCAAAGUAAUCCUUAUUAUUAGAGACCCUUUUUGUCGAUAAAAUUGAUAAAUUCAUUGCAGUUUUUUAUAUUUAUUUAUAUAUAUAUAAUAAGUAAAUGCUGGAUCUGCCACUUACAGCUUACCUUCUUUGGAGUAGGUAGAGCCUCUCCCAACCAUACAAAGCUUCCCAGAAGGUUCUGACCAGAACCCUUGUAACUUCAAACUCAAAGCAUUUCUUGAGGAAAUAUCUGACCUGUAUAGCAUGUUUCCCACGUAGUACGGGCUUUGAAUCACCAAGCUGCUUUCAAUCUUGAACGCCCUAUCUCCAUCACUUAUAUGCACCAAUCCGGUAUGAAAUUAGAAUGAAUUCAAGAACCUGGUUAAAUUUGAAUUCACCAGAGCAGUAAUAACCAGUCUCGUAUUCCCGGAAAGGACCAAAAAACGUUUAAGUGGGAUGAUAACGAUAAUCGGGGGUUGAUUCAGGGGCAAUUGAAGAGCAAUAAUCGGAAUAAAAGGUUGCAGUAUCAGCAGAUAAUGCUUCAGUUUUAAUGCAUGAGACAGGAUCUAUAAAGAAACCAAUAAACAAAAUGAAAAUAUUGGAUAACAAAGCCAUGGCAUCAUUGAAGAUUUCAUUUCCAUUGUAAUGUUGAAGAUGAAACAGUUUAAGCUCAGAUGAGUCAAAGAAAAUGGUUUCCUUUAGUUUGUCAAUGUUUUUUUCAUAUUUUUCAUAUCAUUUGGAUGCUACUUUCUUUCCUCAUCUGCAUUACACUAUCCAUUGUAGUUUAGCAUUGAUAAAGACAGAAUCAAGGAAAACUUUGAAAUUUCCGCAAAGGCAAAACAUGGGGAAAGAAACAUCUGGGAUUGGAUUUUCCUUCCAGGUCUGCAUUACAUGUUCAAAAAAUAUAUAUUUUCAUACGUUUUAUUUUUAAUCUUUAUCCAGAAGAUCUCAAAGUUAUCUUUUGUUAUCGCGAAAAACAUUAUCAGCCUGCAAAGCGCAAAGCUUUUACACUACUAAAUAGGAAAUUAAAAAAGAAAGAGUAACUUCCGCAUUGCAUCCAAAUCAACAGGAAAACCACCUGAAUACUUGUUAAAAUUUCUCAAAAUCCUUAGUUGUACAAUUAAAAAGGUAAAUGAUUCAUUAAUACUCGCAAGCUAUUCAGAUUCGAUUUAAGUAAAACUUGAAUUCGAUUCAAUUAUUAUCGAAUCGAAUUCGAAUAACUUAAUUUAUCGAUCGAAUCAAAUUCAAACAUUCUUACACUCGACUCGAAUAACUCACGAAAUUAAUCAAAUUUUUAUAUUUAAAUUUUUUUUAAUUAUUUUAAUCAAUAAAAUAUAUCGAAUUUGAAUUCAAACUCGAAUAUAAAUAAUCAAACUCUUGUCAAAUAUAAAAAUCGAACUUAUUUUAACAUACUAAUCAAACGAGUUCGAGUAACUCGAUUUCGAUCACAAAUCGAACUCGAGUUAAAAAAAUAAAACUCGAUCGAAUUCGAACCGAAUAUCAAACCUCGAGUUAAGAGCCGAGCUCGAGCUUCUCACUGUAUCAAUUCGAUUUAAUUCGAUUACACCCCUAGAUACAACCACUCAUGAAACAGAACACGCCAUAGAUUUCCAGCAACAGUUCCUAGCCACAGCAAUCCUCAUCGCCAAAUGAUCAGGCCAACUGCAGAGCUGUAACAGUAUAAUCCUUCCUUCUGUUAAGUAUAUGGGCUACGUUAAGCACCUCUAAUGAAACAAUGAUUUCAUACGAUUUAAAAAUUGAAAAAGAACCGAUAACUCCUAUCCAUAUAUACAUCCAUGUACAAUUUCUGAAACUACAUGUGAACAUCCUACGAAUGAAAGCAUACGACACUUCUCAAUUCAAUUCUAAGUUACUUGAUAAGAAAUCAAUUAGACAACUUUGCAUAUUUAUAAAUAAAACCAUACAGGUAAAGUUUCAAAAUUUUAGUUUCAAAAAGGAGUCCAAACUCGAUUAUUUUGACAAUUGGGGGCAGUAAGGAAUUUCUCACAUUCCUUGACUCCAAGUACUGUAAAUUCUUUCACAAGCAUAUUUGCACAUCCAGCCACAGAGUCCUUAAACUUCUGUGAGCAGCUCUUGUCACCUUCAUCGACAUCCUGAACACCACCUUUUACCAGGCAACCUACCUGAGCACCAUCCAUAUAUGCUUUACAUGCCACCAGAAUAUCAUGAGCACGCCUGUAGAAAUGGCCCACAACAAAAUCCUCAAAAUGCUGCAGCCAAACAUGAUUUUAUUAGAAUUUUAAGCCAAAGAGAAGCAAUGGUAAUUAUACAUUCUAACUCGCAUUGUGGAACAAAAUUUCCCCAUAUUAUCAUCAAUACCAAUAUCUUAAUGCAAGUGAUUAGUACCACGCUAAAGCAUAAAAGCCAAUGGAAAUAUCAAAAAUAAAUCUUUCAACUUACCUUUGGCGGCCUCCUCAUAGAGUAGAUCAUUGUCUUCAGUGACAAGAUAAAUGUAUCUUCAUUGUAUUGCCGGGACAAUAAUUCACCUUUUGGUGUGCCACUCUGAUGUGCCCAACCAGGCUCAUUAAAGUAAGGCUUCUGAUUCAAGAUUAGAGCCUGAAUAGAGACCAGAACUUGGAGCAUGGUUGACAUACCAGGUAUCCACUUCUCAUUCUUAUUACCAGACCAGGUGUUAAGAAGACUAAGGCAUACUUUACCACAACUAUACAAAUUUGGAUUGAGCCGAAGUCCACCAGAAUGGUAGUAAACAUGCUGAAAAAAAAAUUCCUAUUCAUCAGACCAAACAUGUAUACCAGAAGAUAUGAUCAUACAUGAUGCAAGAAAAUAUUUCAAAUUCAUAAACCUCAAUAACAUACAGGUGGUACUUUAGGAUAGCUAGCAGGGAAGAAAACAUCAAAGAAGAAGAGACCAUCAUGGUAGGGGGUGCCCUCUGCUCCUAUAAUUACAGCCCUUAAGAGAUCCAUUCUUGAUUCAUAAACCCUAACAAAAAUAGUAUCUGUUGAAACAAUAAAAAAGACACAAAGUAAGAAACAAUAUUAAUUAUACAUUUCAUCAGCAAAAAAGGAAAUCGUUGCAAGCACAGUGGAAGAUCUCAGCUGUUAAUAUUGCAUCCAAAACUUAAUGUGCACUCUGAGUCACAACUCAAGUUUGCAGUAUUCAAUAACUGACAGAUUUAAUUAAAAGGGAUGAACAAGUUAUCAAAUGAAAAUUCUCUCAGAGAAGAAUAUAAUGCUUAAAACUCACCUGGUAAAUCCUUCUCAAGUAUUUUCCACUCCUCCUGAAUCUUCUUUGCCCAAUUCUUCGGUGGCUACCACAAAUAGAAUUAACAAAGGCCACGUUAAUAGGUUGAAAAACUAAGAAUAUAACAAUAACAAAGAAAAGGAUGACCUUAAUAUACAUUUAAAAGCUAUUCACCUGUUUCGUUGAAGCACCAAUGGGAGCAUAGUGAUGGUCUGAAAAAUCUUCAACAGUAUCAAACUGUUUAAAAAGCUGGAGCUUGCUGAGGAUAUCUUCUUCAUUUACAUUUCUCUGAUUUCUAAUGUCUGCCACUUCUUCAGGAGUAAUAUAAGCACCAUCAACUGGAUCAGGAAAACUUGAAUAGACAUUGUGCUUAUUAAAACUAUAUUUUGGGGGGUUCAUAAGGGGUUGCAACCAAGACAUGGAUGGUUCUGCAACCACAACGUGAUUUAAUGUAUCUACAGAUGUAGGAAAAUUUGAAUGCAAACUACUAGCAUCAAUUUGCUUCUGUAUGGCAGAAUUAAAAUGAUCCCAAUAAGAUUGAUUUACUGCAUCAGGGAGCAUCAUUGCAUCAGGGAGCAUCAUUGCAUCAGAGUGAUUCACACUACUACCAUUAGUAGAACCACCAGCCUGGGAAGACUGCAAUGACUGCCCAAAUGGAAGAUUUUGACCACGCCGCGAAGUAGCUGACUUUUUCUUACUUUGAGAACCUUGUGGAAAUAACAAAGGUGUAGGCAGACUUGCAACUCCAGGAGAAUAACUCAAAGGAUCCCCUGGGGUCUGGAAACUUGAACUAUUAACUGAAGUUGCCUUCUUGUUCAUAUGAGCAGGCUCUGAUAACCAUGACGAAAGAGAUUCGUCAUUCCCAUCAACACUCAAUGAAAUGUUUCCAUCAGAAGUUUUCUUUUUCCUCUCUGAAAAAUCUGCAAACCAAGGGAUGGAUGCCUCUACUCCAGCAGGAAUAUCAACAUUAUCAAAAUGUGCUUGCAACAUGGCAUACUCAUCAUCCAUGAAAUCAUUAGUGAAAUAGUUAUCAAAAAACUCAUCAUCGUAGGCCAAAUCAAAUUUAAAGUUAUUUACAUUAUGCAAUCCUUGGUUAGAAAGCUUAGAAGGUUCAACCUUGUUUACUGAACCAAGAGAUUUAGCCACAAAGUCCUGUAUUGAAAAUGGGGAAAAAGUAAGCAAACAAAAUCAUAAGUCCAAAUGUGCAUAAAUCUGAUGCUAGGCACAAUAAACAGUAACUACUACAAGAACAUCCAACCUCUCACAUACCUCAGCUUGAUUAAUACCAUAAACACCAGAGCUACUUUUUACUGCUUUCCCUUUGUUCCUUACAUCAACUCUUUCAUCAAGAAUCACUCUAUCAGUUGAAUCAUCAUCUUUAUCAACAUCAAUUACUUCAUGAAUAACAGCCUGCCAAGAUAUGAAACAUUAACUUUCUAGUAACCCAUGACAUAAGAAUGAUUUUUCUCAGAGCAAUAAGGCUGAUGUGAGAGAAACAAGAUAACAAUAAAAAAUCGUUUAAAGAAUGUAAGUGUAAGGCUUUGCUAAAACUGUGUUUGUCUCUAUUUCUAAUAAGGAAGCUUGUAUAAUAUACUAGAUGUUUCUUGAGGCUGAAUAGCUAGAUUCGGAGUUUAUUUAUCUACAAAACUUUAUUUAUUAAAAGUGAAUCUUAACCUCAAAAUAGUAGAGUCAGCCAAUAGAAUGCUUUUCUAACAUUCUAUCCAAUCUAUGGCCACACUCCACAAAAAAUGACUAUCUGGUGUGCCCUCUUUCCCAUUUCAAAUAAUACACAGAUAAUGUCCAACGUCAAGCUCAAUAGACUAUUAAGCAAGAAAAUGCAUAUAUCAAGUCCUUACUCCUUACUGACCAAAUCCAAAUUUUAACAAAUAUAGGACAUUUUCAACCUCAAACAUGGGAGAAGAGACUUAAUUUGUACCUAAAACUUAUAGCUGAGCAAUUAAACAAGUCAAACCUUAUUAGUUUAAAUGCUCAAUACUUUCUUCAGAAUUUUAUGAGUGUAAGGAUAUUGCCCUUCAAUCUCGAGUGAUCUCAAUUAGCUCAAGCUAACAAACUAGAGAAGUCCUAAGAAACUGCCUGAUAAUAAACCAAACCACAUUUGAGCACUGACAAAAGAGCUUGAAGCCAAUUAUACUCAUUUCAAACAUCUAUUCUAACUAUAUAUACACAAAUCAACUAUCUUCAUCCAGUAUUAAAAGAAAAUACAAUGCUACUACAUUUACCCUAAGAAAUAUGCAAAAGCAAACUCAUCUCGACAACAAACCUAUAUGCAAUCAAAAUUUAAAGCAAAGCAUCAUCCUUUACAAAACAUGAAAUUAAUCCAAUUUAUACGCCAUCAACAAACAGUAAAUAAUCUAUAAAUUACAUUAAAAGGCUAUAAAGCAAUUCCACACCAAAAGGAAACUGAAUCUUUAAAGUCCCCCACGUCAAAAGAGAUAUUAUUAGUGGUGUCACUAAGUGACCAAAAAGUAGCCGAAAGUGGUUUUGUGCAAGGAGAAGUAAGAGUUCAAGUUAGGAUAGAUGCUCAGUAAUCAUCGACUUGUUUACCAGGCACGCUUAUUUUUUAAACCCGGCGACAGGGGCCUAAGAAAGGACCCAUUGUUGCAACCUGUUCAGUCGGGCCCCUCCAAGCGUUGGUUCCCUAACCAAUAAGGGCAAGGGACACUUAACAGUCACCAAAGUUGCCACAAAAACUACUCCCUUUCUAUUAUUAGUUCAAAGACCAAACUCCAACACCAGCCAAAUUUCAAAAUGGUAAAACUAAAACAAAAAAAUCCAUAAAAGGAAUAAAUUUGGCAACUUCAAAUCCCUAUGAUUGAAAAAAAAUAGUCCCAAGUCCCAACCCACAGUGAUGAGUGAACUCAUAAGUUUUCACUAUAAAAAUCCAAAAUUUACUCCUUUAAACCUAAUAAAUCAAUACUAACAAUGAUCCAAACAAAAAAAAAAAUCAAUACAAUUCCCAAAUCAACCGAUCAAUCAAAGUUCUCAUAACAAAAGUAACAACAGGAGCGAUCACUGUAUGUAUUCGAAUUCAAAGUUCAAAGAAAUGAUAUUUUAUAAAAAAAAGAAGCUAAAUGAAUAACAAAAUGAGAUAGGCAAAUUUAAAAAAGAAAAAAGAAAUGAUUUUUAUUGGGGGUGACCUGUUUUUGUUUAGACUUAAAAGAGCGAUGAAUCGGAGGAGGAAUCUCGAUCACUUCGGGGUCCAUCAAGGAACUGGAAUUCGAAGAAGAAGAAGAAGAAGAAAACACUCGAUUCCCGUUUGGACAGUGAGAAAGUGAGGGGAGAAAGUACGACAAAGGGCAAGAAAAGUCAUCAAAGGAAACCCCAAAGGACGCUCAAAUUUUUUCUUUUUUUUUUUUUUAAAUCAAACAAACAAUAAAAAAAAGUAUUUUAAAGAAACAGUCAGAAAUUCCGCGUAUUGUACUUGGCUCGCCGAGUCGAAUGCUGCGGCGGCGGCGGCUUAGUAGACUAUGUGCUCAUGAGGAAAACGACGCCGCUUUAGUGAUUUUUCGAACGGGAAAAUUGAUUUUUUAAUUCUUUUACGGUGUCUGGCUUCGCGCCUAGUUGUGUAAAUAUAUAAUCAGCUCCUUCUUCUUCAAAUUACCAUUUUCCCUUUAAUUGGUUUAACGUGGGCCCUGCAGAGCUUACGUGUCACGAACCAGUAACGACUACUCGGAAAGUUUAAGUGGGGAUAAGUGUAUAGGAUCAAGGCCCAGGCUUUCCGGGUAAGCCAGGUGGAGUUGACUGAAUACGAGAAAACAGUUGACCAUAUCGGGGAUUCUUGACCGUAUAUUAAGAUCGUAGGAUCUAUCAGCGGCGGAUAUCGGGGCUAGCGCAUUGGAUAUUUUUGUGCAGGAAUUUGUUGUAAUUUAUUUUAGGACUAAGAACAAACUGAUGACGUAACGUGUGCUUCUCUAAUCGAAUGGGACCCACAGAGGCGUGGGGACGAAGCAGGGGGAUUUAGAUAAAUAUUUGCUGACGUGGAAAAUGAACGUAAUUUGUUUUGCUAAAAAAAAUUAUCCUUUUUAUUUGUUUUCCUUGCUUAAACUUAAGUCAUUUUCAAAAACAUUUUAGAUUUGGUAAAGCAGUGUUUAAAAUAUUUGAUAAGGAUUUCUUUUUAAAAAUUGUUUUUGAUAAAAAAAAUUAUUUGAUACAAUGUUAUUGUAAUUUUUAGUCAAAUUACAAUAAUGAUUCUUAUAUUUUAAUGAAAUUUAAAAUUUAAUCUCUCUUUUAUAAUUUAUAACAAUAUCAUUUUUAUAUUAUUUUAAUUUAAUCAUUAAUCUCCAUCAAAUUUUUAUCAUUGUAAAUAUUAAUGUUAUCAUUAACUUAAUAAUAUAAGUGUUGACAUUGCUAUCAUGAUAUUGAUUUUGGUAACACGACGUUAACUUUGCUAAUAUAACAAGAUAAAUUAAAUUCGUUAUCAAAUUAUAAAAAUAAUUUAUAUACACGUUUGAAUUUUAAAUUUUAAUAUUAAUGAUAUAAUUCAAAAGAAUCUCAUUCUCAUACAAGUUGAAUUUAAUAGUAUUGAUUUAAUUAUUAAUGAGAUCAAUUAUUUCUAUUAACUUUCCUAAUGUAACCAUUAUCCUUUCAAAAAUAUCUCUGAGAAUUAAAGAGUAUCCUAAUUUUUUUUAUUUUGCAAAAAUAAAAAUAAAAUAAAAUCUAAUUUUGUAGGCCCUUUUUUUAAUUUUUAAAAACAUUAAAUUUGAUUUUUCAAAUAUUUUAAUUUUAAAAAAAUCAUAUUUCUUGACUUUUUUAACAAUCGGAUUUCAAUUUUUUUAAAAAAUCAAUAUUUGAAUUAUUUUCAAUUUUCAAAUUUUAAAUAGUAAUUUUAUUUGUUUCAAUAUUUUAAUUUUUUUUAAAUAAUAAGGCUUGAAUUUUUAUGAAAAAUCAGAUUUCAUUUUUUAAAAAUAAUUCUCAAUUUUUAUAGGAUUUAAAUAUUUACUAAUAUUUUUUAAAUAAUAUUUUUUGAAUUGUCUAAAAAAUUUUAAAAAUUUAUAAUUUUAAGGAAUUUUUAGAUUUUAUAAAAUAUUAAUUUAAUAUUUUAAAUUAAAGUAUUGAAAAAUAAAAUAAAAUAUAUUUUUUAAAAACAUUGAUAAAUUCUAAAAAUUAAAACUAAUUUUUAAAAACUUAAAAUCUGAUUUUUUAAAAAUAAAGGAAAUAUUAUGUUCUUAAAAAUAAAAAUAUUGGAAAAUUAUUAAACUUAAUAUUUUUAAAAUUGAAGAAAAAUUAUAAAUAAUUCAUAAAUAUGAAUUUUUAAAAUUAAAGCCUUAUUUUUCUAUAAAAUAAAAAAUAUUCCUUUUUAAAACAUUAAAUUAUUGAAAAAGUCAAUUUAAUGUUUUUAAAAAAUCCUAAAAAUCUUUUUUUUUUUUACUUUUUAUCAUUUUUAAUUUUUCAUAUAUUUUCUAUUGAAUUUUUAAGACUUUAUAAUUUUUUUAUUUUUUUCAAAAAAAGAAUGGUCACAUUAGCAAAGUUUACAAAAAGUAAUUGAUCACAUUAAUAACACAUUAUCAAAUUCAACGCGUGCGAGAAUGAAGUUUUUAUAAAACUAUGCUAGAAGGAUUAAAAUUAAAAUUUUAUGUGAGUAUAUAAGCCAUUUACAUAAUUUGAUAAUUGAUUUUAUUAAGCACAUCAACAUGUCGAUUUCCAGCAAGGUUAAUUGCUACGUCAACAUUUUUAACGAAAAAUAUUUGAUAAGAUUAAUAAUUUGACUAAAAUUAUCAAAUCAAAACAGUAUAAAACAUAUAUUUCUAUAAAUUAUACUAGAAAGAUUAAAUUUCAAAUUUCUUUAAAAGAUUGACACCUAUCCAUUUUUUUUAAUUAUUUUUUAUUAUAUUUUAAAAGAUAUGUAUAAUCCUUUUAAUCCCAUUUAUAUACUUUUAAAAAUUUUAUUAUCAAUGUAUUUGAUAAUUUAUUUUCUAAUAAAUCUAAUUUUUACAAAACAAAAAUUUUUUUAGUAACAUCAAUAUUUAAUUAAAAUUUUUUAAAACAAAAAAAAAUUCCACUCCCACAUUUCAUUUUGUAAUUGAUGUAUGAUCCUUUAGUUAAAAAAAAAAAAAAGUGUUCAAAUCUCUUUUUUUUUCAAAUAAAAAAUGUUUACCGAAAAUGAGCAUUCAAUGUGGGAUUUGGCUUCUCUCCUUUUGAUCUAUCAAUUGGAGGGUCCAUUUCAUGAUUAGAUGAAAUGCCAUCUCAUUUAAAAUUAAAUCAAUGACUACAACAUAUAUAUGCCACCAAGAAACUCCAUUUGUUCUAACGUUACUUGUUCCUGUCUUCAACAAAGAUUUGCUAAUAAUGAUCGAAGUUUGUUGUAUUAUGUUUCAGCUGUAGCCCUUGAUUUUGCUUUUAAAUAAGCUGACACCUCAUCCCACAGUCAACAAAUUCUCUUCAGCUUGAAUGCAAAUAGGAGAUCAGCUAAAUUAAUUGGGUUGUUUGAUCCGUGAAUUUUUAAAUUUAAUAAAAAAAUAAUAUUAAAAUAUAAUAUAUGUUUUUUUAAAAUUUUAUUGAUAUUAUUAAAAUUUAAAAAAAAUUUCAAUAAUCAUACUUUAUAAUCCAAAUUAAUGAAUCAAAUUACGAAAAAUAAAAUUUGAAUCGAAAAUUUUACUUUUUCUAAAUCAAAUAUCUCCUCAAUAUAAAAGAGUAAACUAUUGUUUGCUUCAUUUAGUUUUGAAUUUAUAAUUUAUAAUUUUAUUUAUAUUUUAUAAUUAUGUUUUCAUUUACUUAAUAUACUAAUUAAAAGUAAACAAAUAUAUAUAUAUUUAUAAAAAAAAAAAACAAUUUUGUUUAAAAUGCUAUUAGAAAGAUAUUCUGUUAUGCUUGAAUGACUGUUAAGAAGGAAAAAAAAAAGAAAUUGAUUGAUACAAGAAACUUUGAAAAAUAUCUAUUAAUUCAAGGCCUGGGGAGCUGUGACCUGUAAAGGGAAGGCCAGACCUAGUAAAGGUUGCCCAACAGACCAAACUACCAAAGGCCCAAUGGAUAAUUAGGAAUAUGAGAGUACGGGGAGCUUCUUCUCUUUAUAAAAUGAAAUUUACUUUCUAUCAAAUAAAAAAUUGAAACUUACUUUAAGACUUAAAACUUGAUUUCAUGAUUAAAAAAGUAAAGAAAUCAACAAUUACUUAAAGCUUCUUCUCUUCUUUUAUAUAUAUAUAUAUAUAUAUAUAAUAUCAUAGCAUUAUUGAAAAGCAACUCAAGACUUUUGUUUCCAAUCCAAGACUAAAGUUGUGAAGUUCAUAUCAACAUGAGCUGGUUUGGUCUUGUAAUUUUGUGGUGUGUUCUUCUUCCAUAUAUUAAGGCCAAUCACACUCACAAAGUAUGUGGUUUGAAAUGCAAGUUACCUUUCAAGGGUGAAGGAAAAGGGAAGCCUCAACACCAUAAUUCAUAUUUGGGCAGUUUUCCUUUAUCAUAGCCAUUGCUGUACCAUUGCCUAUUUCCUUGAUGGGUUACUUUAUCUACCAAGAACCCAAUUGGGCAACAAUUUUUAAUUCAUGAAAUUGUCAAAAUGGGUUUGAUUUUUAUGCAAUCCAACAAAAUUUGAUAUUGAUAUGGAUAGAGGGAGGGAAAAGGAAAGUGAGGUGGACAACCAUGAUUUCUCUUUGCUACUUGUGGAUAAGAAGCUUGAAAACACGUAAGGCUAUAUUUGGUUUGAUAGGAGAUUUGAAAGGAACGUUGGCAAAUUGAAGAAGCAAUUGCUAUACGAAAAAAAACUCAUCACCACCACCAAUAAGCCUUUUGUUCGCAAAUAUUAGCAAUUCACAUCAAAAGAAAUAAAUAAAAAAUAAAAUAUAUAUUUACAUAUAUAAAGAGCGAAUUGGACUUUCCAUUCUAGUUAUUUCUUUCACAAUUGAUUUUCUUCACAUUUUCUUCCUUUUAUUUUUACAACAAAUAUUAAUGAUUGUGACAUCUUUUUAAUAAACUCAUAAGGAUCUCUUCUUUAGGGUAAAGUCAAAAUUUUUUCUAAUAGGAUUAAAUAUUCAUUUGGCACCUAUACUAUAUUGUUUUUGUCAAAUUAGUAUUUUAGAGAAUAAAAACUUAUAAUUAAGUACUUGAAUUUGUAUUUCAUCAAACACUUUGAUCUUGAAACUAAUAGUGUUAGUCAUUUGACUGAUAUGGCUAGAACAUCACAUAAAAUUAUGAUGUAUGGAAAAGAAAUGUUACAUCAUUUUUUUAUUUAUAAAAAAUGAAAAUGAAAAUAAAAAAAUAUAUGAAAUUUAUUUUUGAAAUAAAAAGGAAAAUAAAAAUUGAUAGAAUGAUGGAAAGAGAGGAAAGGAAGAGAAAUUCUUUUUCACCUUCCAAGAAUAAUAAAUUUAUACUUUUUUUAAAGUAUAUGAGCCAAAAAGAAAUAAAUUCUCUAUCAAUCUUCCCAAAGGAGAUGCUUAGCAUUUGGAUGGUCAAUAUUUAAGGGUAAUCUAUGCCUAAUAUAUACAUGUUGGAUGCUAGAGAGCUACAUUUUUAAAAGCAAAUAGAAAGCGAAAAAAAAAAAUGCAUGAUCAUCUUGAUGGAAUUUUUUAGAUAAUAUCAUAAUCCUAAGAAGUUGUAAGCUUCAUUUAUUUAUAUAUAUUUGUUUAUCUUUGUGACUAUUAUUAUUUUAAUUUUUUAUUUCAAAAAGAAAAAAUAAUUAAAAAUUCAUUUACAAAAUUAACAAAAAUACAUUGAAAAACUAAAAAUUAGAUUUUAACUUUCAUCAAUAAAAGGGGAAAUUAAAUAUUUCUUUUAUGUAAUGGAUUUAUUUUUAUAUUUAUUCUUGACAUUGUAAACUUGUUGUAUACAACAUGAGAAUAUAUGCAACUAUGCAAAUUUUAAUAUGUUAUGUCAACCUACAUUUGAAAAAGGAAAAGGAACACAUUAAGAAUAUGUAAUCAAGUGAAUGAUGUAACUGCCACUCAUAUUUUGUCUAUAAGAUUGAUUAUACCAUACUUAUAAUUAAAUUAUGUCCAAAAUAAAUGUGCUAAAAAUGUCAAUGUUCCACCAACUAUCCUUUAAAUUAAUUGACAUAUCAUUGGACGCUUGAAGGUUAUGGAUUUAAAAAAAUUUAUGUACGUAAUGUUCUUUUUAACUAAGUACUAGAAUGGAGAGUUUAAAAAUAGAUUGAGAAUUUAAAAAAAAAAAAAUGUUAAUGUUUUAAUCAAUAACCAUCACAAACGAAAGCCUUUCUACCAUUUUUUUUAUCUUGGCUUUGGUUGCUAAAGUGUUUCAAAGCAUCAAGAAAUUUCUUACCAAGAAUCUUGAAAAGAAAUUCUCUUCGGAGAAUCUUAAAAUAGAUUUUUCUCUUUUUUUCUCCAAAAAUCAUAACUUAAAAAAAAUUUAAUAUUAAAUUUUGAAUUUUAAAUUUAUGAUUAACCACCUUGAAAGAAAAUAAAAUCAAUUAAACUAACACUCAAAGAUCAACUUACCUUUGAAAAAGGAGAAGGAACGCAUUAAGAAUAUGUAAUGAUGUGAAUGAUGUAACUGCCACUCACAUUUUGUCUAUAAAAUUGACUAUACCAAACUUGUAAGUAAAUUAUGUCCAAGAUAAAUGUGCUAAAAAUGUCAAUAUUUCACCGACUGUCCUUUGAAUUAAUUGAUAUGUUAUUAAAAUUAAUAUCUAAAAAUUAUAAAUUUGAAAUAAUUUAUGUGCGUAAUAUUUUUUCAAUAACAUAAAUAAUAAAAUAAAAAAUUUAAGAAUAGAUUAGAAAUUUCACAAAAAAAAAAAAAAGUCAAUGUUCUAAUCAAUAUCUAUCACAAACUAAAGCCAGUUUACCAUUUUAUUUUCUUGGCUUUGGUUACUAAGGUGUUUCAAAGCAUCAACAAAUUUCUUACCAACAAUCUUGAAAAGAAGUUCUCUUAGGAGAAUCUUAAAAUAGAUCUUUUCAGUUUUUACCAAAAAUCAUGACUUAAAAAAUAUAUAUAUAUAAAUGUUAUAAUUUAAAUUUUAAAUUUACAAUUAAUCACCUUUAAAAAAAUAUAUAGUCAAUUAAACUAACACUCAAAGAUCAAUUUGGUAUGCUCUAAUAAAAGAUUAGUGAUUAGAGCACACGAAAUUUAGUUUUAUAAUUAAAAUUAUCAAAAUUUAAAUUUUAAUUACUAAAAUUAAGAUUUCUGACACUCUAUCGUCUUUCAACUUGUUAAGUGAGAGAAAGAUUGAGAUGUAUACACAUAUCUCGAAAAGGAAAAAUGAAGUUGACAUGAGAGGAGGAUAGUAAGCCAAAUCCCUCCAUUAUCAAGAUUCCUUUGGACUCUUUCUCGGGAAGCGUGUGCUUCUUCCAUGCCUAUGUGAGCCCACAUGAAAGAAACAGUACCUCUCCCUUUGCACCUUCUCCAUCUAUAAAUACAUGAUCAUGGUGGAUGGUGCAAAGCAUUGGAGAUAUAGCAAUCCCAUUUCAAGCAAACACAACUUUCACUUCUCACUUUCAACAACUUUCCAAAUUCACCAUGUCUGACAAGUGCGGCGACUGCGACUGCGCAGACAAGAGCCAGUGCACGUAAGUAAUCGAUUCCCCAUUAAUCCAUGACAAACCUUCAGCGGUAGUUCUGGGGUUGUGUUGUUUGAGACCAUGUUACUGUUGCUAACUUUUUGUGUUCAUGAUCUUAAUGAGUCUCAGCUUUAUAUAACAUGUUACUCUUAGGCUGAACAAAACUUUUCAAAACCAUCUAUUAUAUCUUUUCCUCCCUUGUUUCCUGCAAGACAACUUGCUAAAAUUUUACCAAAUCCGAUUCUUGUUAAAAUUUUAAAUCAUAUUAUUUUCGUGUUUUUUUCUUUGUCAGGUCUAGUGGAAAUUUACACUAAUUGUUAUUUUAAGCUCUUCAUGAGUUUGCAAUCAAGUAUAACCGAAAACUAAAGCUUUUUUUUUUUUUUUUUCUGAUUUUUUUAUGCUUCAGGAAGAAGGGAAACACCUUGGUCGUUGAGACUGAGAAAAGGUACGUAUACUUUUGCUCUUCAAAGGUUCUGACAUCAGCAAAGAAACAAACCAAUAAUAUAUAUAUAUAUAUAUGCUGCUAAGAUCUGAACCAUCCCUGAGGAACUUAAUUCGCAAUAUUCAUAUGCAUAUGCUAAUUGUAAUCUGUUGUGUUGUUUCUGUGCAGCUACGUCAACACUGUCGUGGUCGAGGCUGCGGCAGAGAACGAUGGCAAGUGCAAGUGCGGAGCUAGCUGCAGCUGCACAAACUGCACUUGUGGUGAUCAUUAAGCAAACAUAGAGCAACGAUGUUUUAGCUCAUGGCAAUAUUGGGACCUAAAAAAUAAUGAAAUUUGGGUUGAAUAAUUUGUGUCUUUUUUUGUAUGUGUGUGUUUUUCAUUUCUGUCAGUCACGUCAUGUUCUGUGAUGUAAUGGCCAUGUCUAUGGCCUUGUCUGGUUAAUGAAUUACUAUUAGUAUAAGAAAUUUAUACUUUUUUUAAAGUAUAUGAGCCAAAGAGAAUUAAAUUCUCCAUCAAUCUUCCCAAAAAGAUGCUUAGCAUUUGGAUGGUCAAUAUUUAAGGGUAAUUUAUGCCAAACAUAUGCAUGUUGGAUGCUAGAGAGCUACAUUUUUUAAAGCAAAUAGAAAGUGAAAAAAAAUAUAUGCAUGAUCAUCUUGAUGGAAUUUUUGAGAUAAUAUCAUAAUCCUAAGAAGUUGUAAGCUCCAUUUAUAUAUAUAUAUAUAUAUAUAUAUAUAGUUAUAGUUAUCUUUGUGACUAUUAGUAUUUUACUUUUUUAUUUCAAAAAGAAAAAAAUAAUUAAAAAUGCAUUUACAAAACAAAAAUACAUUGAAAAACUAAAAAUUAGAUUUUAACUUUCAUCAAUAAAAAAGGAAAUUAAAUAUUUCUUUUAUGUAAUGAAUUUAUUUUUAUUUAUUUUUUACAUUAUAAACUUUUUAUAUACAACAUUAGAAUAUAUAAAACUAUGCAAAUUUUAAUAUGUUAUGUCAAUUUACCUUUGAAAAAGGAGAAGGAACACAUUAAGAAUAUGCAAUCAAGUGAAUGAUGUAACUGCCACUCAUAUUUUGUCUAUAAGAUUGAUUAUACCAUACUUAUAAUUAAAUUAUGUCCAAGAUAAAGCUGCUAAAAAUGUCAGUAUUCCACCGACUAUCGUUUGAAUCAAUUGACAUAUUAUUAGACACUUAAAAAUUGUGAAUUUAAAAAAACUUAUGCACGUAAUGUUCUUUUUAAUUAAGUAUUAGAAUGAAAGGUUUAAGAAUAGAUUAAGAAUUUCAAAAAAGAAUUGUUAAUGUUUUAAUCAAUAACCAUCACAAACUAAAGCCCUUCUACCAUUUUUUUUAUAUUGGCUUUGGUUACUAAAGUGUUUCAAAGCAUCAAGAAAUUUCUUACCAAUCUUGAAAAGAAAUUCUCUUAGAAGAAUCAUAAAAUAGAUUUUUUUUCAUUUUUUCACCAAAAAUCAUAACUUAAAAAAAAUUUAAAUAUUAAAUUUUAAAUUUACCAUUAACCACCUUAAAAGAAAAUAUAAUCAAUUAAACUAACACUCAAAGAUCAACUUACCUUUGAAAAAGGAGAAGGAACACAUUAAGAAUAUGUAAUGAUGUGAAUGAUGUAACUGCCACUCACAUUUUGUCCAUAAGAUUGAUUAUACCAUACUUGUAAUUAAAUUAUGUCCAAGAUAAAAGAUGCUAAAAAUGUCAAUGUUGCACCGAUCGUCUUUUAGAUUAGUUGAUAUAUCAUUAAAAUUAACACUUAAAAAUUAUAAAUUUAAAAAAUUUAUACGCAUAUUAUCCUUUUCAACAAAAUAAAUAAUAGAAUAAGAGAUAUUAGAAUAAAUUAAAAUUUUCAAAAAAAAAAAGUCAAUGUUCUAAUCAAUAUCCAUCACAAACUAAAGCCAUUUUACCUUUUUUUUCUUUCUUGGCUUUGGUUACUAAAGUGUUUCAAAGCAUCAAGAAAUUUCCUACCAACAAUCUUGAAAAGAAAUUCUCUUAAGAGAAUCUUAAAAUAAAUCUUUUCAUUUUUUACCAAAAAUCAUAACUCAAAAAAAUAUAUAUAAAUGUUAAAAUUUAAAAUUUAAAUUUACAAUUAAUCAUCUUAAAAGAAAAUAUAAUCAAUUAAACUAACACUCAAAGAUCAAUUUGGUAUGCUCUAAUAAAAGACUAGUGAUUAGAGCACAUGAUACUUUUAUUUUUUUUUAUAAUUAAAAUUAUCAAAAUUUAAAUCUUAAUUACUAAAAUUAAAAAUUCUAACACUCUAUCGUCUUUCCACUUGUUAAGUGAGAGAAAGAUUGAUUGAGAUCUAUAAAUAUAUCUCAAAAAGGAGAAAUGAAAUUGACAUGAGAGGCGGAUAGUAAGCCAAAUCCCUCCUCCAUUAUCAAGAUUCCUUUGGACUCUUUCUCGGGAAGCGUGUGCUUCUCCCAUGCCUAUGCGAGCCCACAUGAAAGAAACAGUACCUCUCCCUUUGCACCUUCUCCAUCUAUAAAUACAUGAUCAUGGUGGAUGGUGCAAAGCAUUGGAGAUAUAGCAAUCCCAUUUCAAGCAAAUACAACUUUCACUUCUCACUUUCAACAACUUUCCAAAUUCACCAUGUCUGACAAGUGCGGCGACUGCGACUGCGCAGACUCGAGCCAGUGCACGUAAGUAAUCGAUUCCCCAUUAAUCCAUGACAAACCUUCAGCGGUAGUUCUAGGGUUGUGUUGUUUGAGACCAUGUUACUGUUGCUAACUUUUUGUGUUCAUGAUCUUAAUGAGUUUCAGGUUUAUAUAACAUGUUACUCUUAGGCUGAACAAAACUUUUCAAAACCAUCUAUUAUAUCUUUUCCUCCCUUGUUGCCUGCAAGACAACUUGUUAAAAUUUUACCAAAUCCGAUUCUUGUUAAAAUUUUAAAUCAUAUUAUUUUCGUGUUUUUUUCUUUAUCAGGUCUAGUGGAAAUUUAUACUAGCUGUUAUUU
rnacentral:lncRNA from 1 species